rnacentral:lncRNA from 1 species
UCAUGUACAUGUCAUCAUCCAACUAGACACUUCACAUGGAUUGAUUUUUUAAAACAUAUUUACCCCCAAAUGUCUUCUUCUCUCUUCAACCAACCCUAACACCAAAAACACAUGUUUUUUCUUCUUCAUUCAUAGGCACAACCCAUCACAAGGCGAAACGAUCCAUAAAAAAAUCUGGUGGCUUCUCAAUUUGCCAUAACCCAUUAACCCCAAACAAACCUCCAAACAAGAUCCCUUAUUUUAUUUCUCCUCCAUCACCAUAAGAAAGACAACAUCAUCAUUUUCCCACCAAACAUCAAUUCGAAAACAAAAGUCCAAGUGUGAAACCCCUAACAAAGCCUAGGUAGACAAAGAGCCCCUUUCCUUUUUCUCAUUUCAACAUCGACAAAGUCAUUUCUUCCCUUCUUGUACUUCCUCUUUUGCUUUUGCGUUGAAAAAUGAGAAAGAAAGCAAUUGAGAGAAAAAGGGAACAAAGCAAUUCAAUAUUGUAGUUGCAUUUAACUUUUAAAGUAAGGGUUUUUCCAGAUGAUAUAUGUAUUUUAUUAAAUUUUGUAAUAACUAUUUAUUUUGAUUUGUCAUUUUGAUUCUUUGAGAUUUGAAUACUGUCAUAGUUAUGUGAUUUGUGGAAUUUUGUGAUUUAAACUUAAUUACAUUGCAUAUUUGUACAUGUUGAAUGUUCAUUAAUAUUGUAUUCAAUUUUAUAUUUUAAUUUAUUUAGGGUUUAUUUGAAAUGAAAUAUGGUUUGAAAUUUGAUAAAUGAUAGGAAAAUGAGAUGGUGGUAAGUUAUAUUGAUUUUGUUUUAUUUUCUGAAUUGUUGUGUCUGUGUUGUACAUGGUUGUUGGGAAGAAUAUAGAAAAGAGAAGAAAAAUAUGACUAUUGAAUGAGAAGGGAAUACAAUUUGUAUAUGGGAUUCAAGAUGUUUUGUUGUUUAAUGUUGUUUAUAUGGGAUUCCAAAAUGAGUAGGUUGAGUUUUUUUUUAUAGUUGUUAAUUGAUGAAUUUAAUGCAUAGGAAAAGAAUUCAUGUUUAGUCAUAAGUAAAAUGAGUAUAAAUUUUAAAAAUGAUUGGGAGUACAGUUUGAAUAAAUUUCUUCAUAAAAGUUUUGAAUUUGUAAUGAAUGAGGGUUGAAUUGAAAAAGAAAAUAAAACAAAUGUAGUAAAGCAGACAUGAAUUUAUGUUGGAAUUAGGAAAAAUAGUAGUGGAGCCUUAGAUGGAAAUCUGAUGCUCACUGUCAUAAAUAUGAAAUUUGUUUUGUUUAUAUGUGUGUAAUGGUCAUAGUAGGUGUUUACCCUUGGAUGAAGAGGUUGACUGUAAUUAAGGUAAUGACAUUUGGAUGAAAUAAUUGUUUUUGUAAGAGGUUGCAGUAAGUAAUUAGUGGUUGACCCAUUUGUUUGGAGGUAGGCCCUUAAUUGUAAACAUUGUUGUGGUCUAAUCUAGGCAAUAAGCAAAAUAAAGGAAGACCCAUUGUUUUAGGGGUUGGCCCGAUAAUAGGGCCAUUAGCAUAAUUUAGCUUGAAAAAUUACAAAAACAAUGGUUGGCCUAUGAAUUGAGAGGUUCACUUCCCAACUUAUAUAACAUAACAAAUUACUACCAAAUGAAAUAGAAUAAUUGCAUUAUUUAAUGUUAAGUAUACGCUAUGCAUGUUCAUAUUUACAACAUUAAUUGAAGACCAUGAAAUGUAAAUGAAGCUCACUUGUAAAGUUCCAAAGAUAAACGAUGUAUUAGUAAUUUGGUCAUAAGUGUGAUAAUCAGUUUUGUUAUAAGUAAUUUGGUUUAAGCAGUGUUAUUAAAAAAUUAGUUAAUUGUUUCAGCUUGACUAAAGGUUCAUGUUUCUAAGACAUGAUCGAGUAUCAUUUAAAUGGAUCCAAGUAAUACAAUUUAUUAUUAUCUGCACAUUGAAAGAGAGCUAGUAAGGGGUGAACAUGGCAGUAUGGAAUAUAUGGGUGGGAGACGAGAGAGUAUAAGUUCAGAACGAUCAAUGACAUAUAAUGAUUUUGUUUCAAGGAUUUGUGGGAAAAUGAACAUUGAUAUAGUGGGACCAACAUUUUCAUACACUCUUCCAUUUGAUCUAUAUGCACUUCAACCAUUGAAAAAUGAUGAAGACUUGACAAACAUGUUUCAAUUUAGUGACUAAUUCACACGUGUAUAUAUAUGUUUAGCAUCAACAGUUGAAGGCGAUGAAACGGUUGACAAUGGAGGACAAAUGUAAGUUUAUCAAAAGAAUAUCUAAUCUUAAAUGAUUUCGUGUAUUUAUUUAUUUAUUAAUAUUUAUGUUUAUUCAUUAGAUGAUAAGUUGAUAAAUAAACAUAUUUAUAAUGCAGAUUGAACGAAACAAUGGUAAGGUCAAACUCACUGGUCCCAUAUUCAACAUGGGAUGUUGAUAUUAAUUAUAAUGCAAUCACGAGGAUUUUAUCAAAGAUGUGUUGAAUCACAUGUUGGUCCACUAGAGUCGAGUUAUUUUGAGAGUGCAAUAUUGGGUAGUGGGCAUACCUUUUCAACUGCAAAUGACUUUUGAGAUGCAAUAUAUCUCAUGUCAAUAGGAAACCAUUUUAGAUAUAAGUUUAGGAGGAAUUGCCUUAAGCAUAUGACUGUAAUAUGUGUUAUUGAAGGAUGACCUUGGAAAGUAACUACUUGUGUUGUUGGGAGAACAAAAAUAAUUCAGGUGCAUACAUUUAUAAAUGAACUUAACCACUCUUUAGAAGAUGUGUCAGUUUCUAAACCAAUAGUUCGUUGUAAUCGAGCCACAACUAUGAUUGAUAAUGUUAUUCGUUCAAAUCCAAAUUACUUGUCUCGUCAAAUAUGUAAAGACUUUCAUCGACAAUACAAAAUGCAAUUGAAUUAUUGUCAAGCAUGGAACUUGAAAGAGAAGGCUAAAGAACAAAAUCAUGAUGUGCCCCAAUGUUCAUAUAAGUUGUUGCCUUGGUUGUGUACAAGGCUUAUUGAAACAAAUCCAGGGACGAUUGCUGAAUAUAAAUGUUCGGAUGAUGGUCAUUUCAUGCAAUUGUUUGUUGCCCUUUCAGUGUCAUUACAUGGGUUUAAAAUGGGGUGUCGCCCUAUUAUAUCAACAGAUUCAUCCCACAUGAGUGAGUCAUACAAGGGUGCUUUAUUUUUAGCUUCUUCGUAUGAUGCUAACAAUGUCAUGUUUCCACUUGAUUAUUGCUUAUUUAGCUCCGAGAAUUACGAGGAUUGGCUUUGGUUCUUAGAGAAAUUGAAGAUGGUCAUAGGUGAAACAAAGGUUAUAAUAAUAUCUAAUAGGCACGAUGGAAUUAUCUGUAGUGUUUUAGAUGUAUUCAGCAGUGAAAAUCAUGCACAUUGCUAUCAUCACAUUAAAGAAAACUUUAGUAGCUUACUAACAAAGUUGAACACUAAAUGGAGGAAAAUAAAGGAAAAUGCUUUGCAAAUGCUCGAUUCUAUCACCUAUUCUAGGUUAGAUUGUGAUUAUGAGGUUACAAUGGAUACUUUAAGGACAUUUAAUCAUGAUUUGGCAAAGUGGGUUGAAAAAAAUAACCCUCAACAUUGGGCAAUCUCUAAAUUUAAGACGCGUUGGGAUAAGAUGACAAAUAAUCUAGCUAAGUCUUUCAAUUCUUGGUUAAGACAUGAAUGACACCAUAACAUUUGUGUUUUCUUCAUUGAGCAUAUGGAUAAGUUAGGAUCUCUUUUAUUCGAGCACAAAAAUGGACUUGCAAAAUGGAAUGGGUGCAUUAGUCCUAAAAUAGAAUAAAAUAUUGCAUUGAACAUUGCAAAAGGUGAAAAUUAUAUCACCUAUUUACACUUGGGUAGUUCGAUGAAAGUAUCCAAUGGAAAAGUAUUCUUGGAAAUGGACUUAAUGAAGUGAACUUGCACAUACAAAGCAUGGCAAAUGUCUGGAAUCCCAUGUGAUCACGAUUGUGUAACAAUACGAAGAAUGGGGUUCGAUGUAUCUGAUUAUGUUGAUGACUGGUAUAAGUACAAUUUGCAAGAGAAUAUAUACUCUGGAAGCAUGUGUACUUUGGUAACGCAUGACAUGCCAAUGAUUGAUGAAGAUGGAACCGUUCGUGAUGCCUUGGGUCAUACUUAUCCUUUUCUUAAUCUUUCAACCACAAAGCAAUCUCCUGGAAGACCUAAGAAACAUCAAAUUAAGUCUCAAUUCAUGUAAAAAAAAAAAAAAAAAACGGUUCAUUGUUCUCGUUGUAAUGAGCCUGGGCAUAAUUGUGCUACAUGCAACAACCCAUUGUCGUAACUAUUUAAUUAAACUUCAUAAUGUAACAUCGACUUUAUAUUAGUGUGUAAUAAUUUGGUAAUCUUCAUCGUUGUUUCUCUGAUUAUAAGCAAUGACUAAUUUAUUGGAUUUGUAGUGUUUGGUGUACACAUAUUGUGAUUAUAUCUUGUUCUUCAAUAUUAUGGGAUAUGUUACAUGAUAAUAUAAUUGCAAUAACAAAAUGUGUACCUUGGUGAUGAUUGUUCAAAGAUGUCAUUAAGUCACAUAGAUUCACAUGGAAAAACAAAUUGUUAACUAGUGGGCAUAAUCGUGGAUGACCUUUACAUGUAUGGGUUGUCGUUUUUUGGCUGAUGACCCUUAAUCAUAUUAUUUAGUUUUGUGGGAAGUGGUCAGUAACCAAAAUAAGGGCCAACCUAUUAGGUCAUAAGCAGUCUUAUCGUUUUUCUUAUUUAAAAUUGGUUUUGUGUUAUGUGAGGAGUCGGUAAAAGGGAGGUUGACCCAUUGACACCAUGGGAAGGCAUUCGAACGUUUACACUAUACAGUUAGAAUUAAUGGAAUUUCUUUUAUACAAUAACAUUAGUUUGGUAUGUUAUGUGCAGAAGUUGAUCUAAGGGCGCACCCUCCAUUUCAAAGGCAUGCCUAUGUGUGAAUGACAUUAUAUUACCAUGUUAUAUACAGAAGGCAAAGUAGGGGCACACCCUUCGUUGCAUAGGCAUGGGCAUGGGUAUGAUAACAUUAUUUUGGUAUGUUAUUUGUUAUACACAAACUAGGAGCACACCAUUGAUUUUAGAGGCAUGCCUAUUUGUGAAACCAUUAUAUUGGUAGGCUAUGUGCAGUAGUCAACCUAAGGGCACAACCUUCAUGGAAGACGCAUGAAUGUGGGUGAAAAACUUGAUUUUUUUAAGCUAUGUGCAGUAGGAAAAAUAUAGGCAUGACUCUAUCGGAGGCAUGCCUUCAAGAUGACUAGAUUUAAGGUGUGUGUUGGGCAGUAAGGCAAAUAGAGGCAUGUCGAUAGCUUGAAAGGUUGACCCUUUACGUUCAUAUGAAAUAAGCGACCACCAAAGGAAUAAAUGAACAAAAGUUAUGCAUUAUCAAAUGUUUGGUAAAGACCAUAUGUUCUAAAGUUUAGCAUAGUAAUGUCAUACCAUCUAGUGUUAAUGAAGUUUAGUUGUAUUUUUUAUAAUCUAAGCAAGACAUUAAUCAUAAUGACAAUAGGUGUGAAUGUGACAAUUGUUAUAGUUAAUUAAUUUUGGCAUGGUUAGUUACAAAUACUAUUAUAAGCAAUUAAAUACCUAAUGGGGUCCAAGAAAGGGAUUAAAAUAAUUUAUGCUUAUUUUAUGAAUGAUGUAAUUCUUUUUGUAAGAAAUAUAUGUAUUAUUGCACAUAUUAACGUACACACACGCGCGUGCGCGCGCGCACACACACACACACACACACACACACAUAUAUAUAUAUAUAUAUAUAUAUAUAUAGAUGUAUUAAAGUAAGAAGGCAUGAGGUCUCAGAUUGAUGUUAAAAAAAUGUACAAUACUUUAUUAAAGUUAAUAAAGAACAGAUUGAUCUUAAAGAUAUAUGAAACAUUGUGGAUGAUAUUACGAUGGUUUGAAACUCUGUUAAAUGGUGGUGAACGACUUCCCAUCAGUUCCUAUGGGUUCUCGGUAGCAUGAGGCCUUGAAAUACCAAAAUUUCUUACAAAUGUACCAAAUUUUAUAAAAUAAAAUAAAAAAUGUACCAAAAGUUGUAAAUGAUGUAGCAAAAUUUGUCAAGGAUGUACCAAGGGUUUAAAAGUCUGUUCAAGAGUAGUGAACGACCUUUCAUCAAUUAACAUAGAUCCUUAAAUGAAAUAAUGGAUCAUAGGUGAUAAGAUGGGUGUUUCAAUGGCAAUAGGAUUAAAUGUACCAAAUUUUAUAAGGGGUCUCGACAACAAUAGGAUCGGAUGUACCAAAUUUUAUGAAGAAUGUAUCAAAUUUUGUGAAGGAUGUACCAAGGGUUCCAACGUGCAUUCAGAUAUGAGGAACAACCCCCAAGCACUUCCUUAUAGGUUCUCAAAUGAAAUUAUGGACCUUAAGUGAUAAGAUGGGGGUCCUAGAAGUAAUAGGAUGGGAUAUACCCAUAUUUUAUAAAAGAUGUACCAAAUUUUAUGAAGAAUGUACCAAGGGUUCCAAAGUGCACUCAGAGGUGGGGAUCGACCCCCAAUCACAUCUUUAUGGAUUCCCAAAUGAAAUUAUGAACCAUCUAUGUCCAAAUGGGAGUCUUGAAAGCAAUAGGAUUGGAUGUACCAAAUUUUGUGAACCAUGUACCAAGGGUUCCAAAGUGCAUUUCGAGGUGGGGAUCGACCACCAAUCACUUCCUUAUGGGUUCCGAAAUGAAAUUAUAGACCCUAGGUGAUAAGAUGGGGGUCCUGGAAGAAAUAGGAUGAGAUGUACCAAAUUUUGUGAAAAAUGUAUCAAAUUUUGUGAAUAAUGUAUCAAGGGUUCCAAAGUGCGUUCUGAGGUGGGGAUCGACUCCCAAUCACUUUCUUAUUGGUUCCAAAAUGAAAUUAUGAACCAUGAGUUAUAAAAUGGGAGUCUCGACAACAAUAGGAUCGGAUGUACCAAAUUUUGUGAAGAAUGUACCAAAUUUUCCAAAGCAUGUUUCAAGGUGGGGACCAGCCACGAAUCACUUCCUUAUGGGUUUCCAAAUGAAAUUAUGGACCCUAGGUGAUAAGAUGGGGGUCCCGAAAGCAAUAGGAUGGGAUAUACCAAAUUUUACAAAGGAUGUACCAAAUUUUAUGAAGAAUGUACCAAGGGUUCCAAAGUGCACUCAGAGGUGGGGAUCGACCCCCAAUCACAUCUUUAUGGAUUCCCAAAUGAAAUUAUGAACCAUCUAUGUCCAAAUGGGAGUCUUGAAAGUAAUAGGAUUGGAUGUACCAAAUUUUGUGAAGCAUGUACCAGAUUUUAUGAAAGAUGUACCAAGGGUUCCAAAGUGCAUUUCGAGGUGGGGAUCGACCACCAAUCACUUCCUUAUGGGUUCCGAAAUGAAAUUAUAGACCCUAGGUGAUAAGAUGGGGGUCCUGGAAGAAAUAGGAUGAGAUGUACCAAAUUUUGUGAAAAAUGUAUCAAAUUUUGUGAAUAAUGUAUCAAGGGUUCCAAAGUGCGUUCUGAGGUGGGGAUCGACUCCCAAUCACUUUCUUAUUGGUUCCAAAAUGAAAUUAUGGACCAUGAGUUAUAAAAUGGGAGUCUCGACAACAAUAGGAUCGGAUGUACCAAAUUUUGUGAAGAAUGUACCAAAUUUUCCAAAGCAUGUUUCGAGGUGGGGAUCAGCCACGAAUCACUUCCUUAUGGGUUUCCAAAUGAAAUUAUGGACCCUAGGUGAUAAGAUGGGGGUCCCGAAAGCAAUAGGAUGGGAUAUACCAAAUUUUACAAAGGAUGUACCAAAUUUUUUUUAAGGAUGUACCAAGGGUUCCAAGGUGCUUUCUUAGGUGGGGAUUGACCCCCAAUCACUUUCUUAUGGGUUUCAAAAUGAAAUUAUGGACCAUAAGUGAUAAGAUGGGGGUCCCAACAAUAAUAAGAUCGAAUGUACCUUAGAUUUUUUUAACCGUGUUUCUUAGUAACUUGAUGAAAGUUAUGUACAUUUUUUAAAGUUAAUCCGAGACCUCAUGGCCUCUUACUUUAAUCUAUCUAUUCUUUUGAGAAAUUGACAUACAUCUAUUGUUUUACACACACACACACACACACACAUAUUCCUUACAAAAAGAUGCACUUCAUUCAUAUAAUAAGCAUAAAUUAUUUUAAUCCCUUAUGUCGACCUCAUUAGGUAUUUAAUUGCUUACAUAAAUAUUCGUAAUUAACCCUACCAAAACUAAUUACCUAUAACAAUAGUCUUAUUCACACCUAUAACCAUCAGAUAUUAAUGCCUCAUGUAAAUUAUGAACAAUUCAACUCAACUUCAAUAACACUUCAUGUUAUGACAUUAAUGUGCUAAAUAUUAGAACAUAUGGUCUCUACCAAACAUCAGAUAAUGCAUUACUUUUAUUUAUUUAUUUAUAUGGUGGCCACUUAUUUGAUAUGAUCGUCAAGGGCCAACCUUUCUAGCUUUGGGCAUGUCUCCAUUUGUCUUACUGCCCAACCCACAUAUCAAAUAUAAUCACUUUAAAGGCAUGCCAUAGACAUAAGAGGCAUGCUUAUCUUUUCUACUGCACAUAGCAUAACAAAUUUAAGUUUUCACCCACAUUCAUGCAUCUUGCAUGAGGAGUGCACCCCUAGUUUGACUAUUGCACAUAGCCUACCAAUAUAAUGUCUUCACCAAUAAGCAUGCCUCUUAAAUAAAUGGUGCACCCCUAGUUUGUGUAUUGUAUAUAGCAUACCAAAAUAAUGUUAUCAUACCCAUGGCAUGCCUUUGCAACAAAGGGUGUGCCCCUGGUUUGCCUUUUGCAUAUAGCAUACUAGUAUAAUGCCUUCGCACAUAGGCAUGCCUUUGAAAUGAAGGGUGUGCCCUUAGAUUGACUUCUAAAUAUACCAUAGUAAACUAAUGUUAUUAUUAUUUUUAAAACAAAUUCCAUUGCUUCUAAGGGUACAAUGUCCACAUUCGAAUGCCUUCCUAUUAAACAAUAAGUCAACCUUCCUUUUACCAACUACCCACAUAACACAAAACUAAAGGGUCGACCCUUAUUUUUGCUACUAACCACUUCAAACAAAACUAAUAAUAUGAUCAAGGGUUAUCAACCAUAAAACAGCAACCCCGCAUGUAUAGGUUAGUCACUAUUAUGCCCACUGGUUAACAAUCUUUUGUCUUUUAUUUUUAUUUUUUCCGAAAAGCUCUUGGGUGAAGUUUUUCACUUGAUUCCAACUAUUGUGCUAGUGCAUUUGUUUUCUAAAGAUCCCAAGUGUAGCAACCAGUGCUUCAUUGGUCACUUCUCUUAAGCUCUUCAAUUAGCUUACUCUUUUCCUUUAUAGUAGCCUUAAGUGCUUCAAGGCUAACACCCUCGAUUUCAUGGACAUAGUUUGCCUCCACCUUUGCAGUUCAUUUACUUAAAAACGUCAUAACAAUGAACCUCUUGUUGAAUCCUUCAACAUCAAUGGUUGUGAUAAUGGACACUUGUAUAUAAAUGAAUCCAUUGUUUUGGAAGAAGGCGUGAGUUGCAUGAUUAAGGGCAUUGCGGGUUCGCAUAAUGAAUGCCACCUGCAAGUUUUAAAGUAGAAAUUAAAACAAAAUGACCUAAUUAAUUUGUAGUCAAAGCAUUUAUCAUGGAUUUAGAUAAGAAGCUGGAUGGAACAAAAAGAUUAAUUAUGGUUGUUGCUUAUGGCUAUGUCAUUGACAAUUAAGAAGGUAUGCCCACUACCCAAUAUUGCACUUUCAAAAUGACUCGACUCUAGUAGACCAACAUCUGAUUCAACACAUCUUUGAUAAAAUUCUUGUGAUUGCAAUCUAAUAUCAUCAUCCUUUGUUAAAUAUGAGACUAUUAAGUUAGACCAAACAAUUGUUUUGUUCAAUUUGCAUUAUAAAUAUGUUUAUUUAUCAACUUAUCAUAUAAUGAAUGAACUUUUUUUCCUCAAUGAUUUUCAAUUCUAAAGAGCUUCCAUUUUUGUUAUAAAAAAAUUACUAAUUUAACAUUUCCUAAAAAUGAUCCAUUUCCAUAUUGAAAACAGUUUUUCAAUCAGGUUUCCCAACCCCCUAACCAAAUAUAUUUUCAGUGUCAUUUCCAUUUAUUUUCUUAAACAACCCUUUGCCAAACACCCCUAUAAUUUUGGAUCCUAUAAGCACAAAGCCCUACAAAUCAAAACCCACCAAGGUCACACUCUCUAAUACAAUUCCUCAUUUCAUCAAGUGAAAAAUCAACCCAAUUCAAUACCCACCAUCUAGAUCAACCCAAUUAACACUUCAAAAACAUUAAAAAAAAAUCAAGCCAAACCCAAAAAAUGCUCAUUAAUCACACCACAACCCAAACAAUCAAAUAAAACCCUCAUCAAAUCCUAUACUAACUUUGCACCAAGAAAACAAAACCACACGAAACACAAAACCCUAGUACAAGAUUAACUAAUUCAAUCAAAUUCACAUCCAACAGUUCACAAACAUGGCCAAAAACUAAAAUUCACAAGCCAAAUAAUUGCGAGUCAGACCUGAAAAUCAAGAACUGUACUUGUAACUUGACUUGUCUGAAAAUCCCAACUUUGAAGCCACCCAAAGUGCGCGAGAUAAGCAAAAUGGGUGCACAGGAUUAUAAAAGUAGACUCCCUUUAUGGGUUUUUUGAGUUAAGGUUUAAUUGAAGAGAGAAAAAGGCUAAAUCUCACUAUCUGUUUUGUUAUUUUUUGGCAAAUAUAUUUUUUUUUAAAUCAUUCCACGUGGAUUGUCUAGUUGGAUGGUGGCAUGGACAUGAGCCAUAUCAUUAGCUUAAGUGGGCAACUUACUUUGACUGUGCUCACAUGGCUUUUCCAAGUAGUUGAUCCAAUUGGAAGAGGUGUUAAAGUGUAGGAGGGCAUUUUUUAAAGGAUCUCAACAUCACUAUUACAGUGUAUGGAAAGGUAUUUAUUUUCCCUAAAAUCCACUAACCUUCAAAAGUAAAAAGUAAAAUUCCCAAAAAGCAAAUUUUUGCCCCCUAAUGUAUGGCUACAUAAAUUUCUUUUUUUUUUUCCUCCAUAACAUAUUAUAAUAGAUUGUACAUGUUUAUCUUAGCCAUGGUAUGAUAAAAAAUAUGUUAUAUGCUAUACGUAGAGAAAAACACUCCAAACGACCAAAGUAGAAAGUGGAGAUAGUUUAUGACUGAUCCUCGCUCAAUUUGCACAUAACACCACUAGUUAACCAAACUUCAUCCUCCAUGCUUCAAGUAAUCCAUAGCCAAGUUCUUCUCAAGAGACAUAGGUCAUUUAUGGAGACAUAGGUCUUCAAAUCUGAUGAUGGGAAAUGUCUACCUCCUCCUAAAGUGCAAGAUUUUACCAUGGUUUUAAAAACCAAACCAGACAGGUCGGUCCAACCGCCAACCAGUCAUGGUUCCAAUUCGGUCUGGUCAAUUGGGUCGAAAAGUGGUCGGAUCGAAAUUGGACCGAUUAAACCAGUGGUCCGAUCGGUAAUCGUUCGGUUCAAUUUUAUUUUUCCACUGUCAUCAUUUCCCAUCAACGGGACCCCCACCCUCCUUGCAAAGCCAUCCCCACGCUAGAAAAGCUCUUAUUGCCCAUUGGAACACCCCCCACCCCUAGAAACCACCCCCUUCCUCCUCGUUGGAACCCCUUUUUGUUUAUCGAAAUCCCUCCCACCCGACACUGGAAACUCUAUCCCCCAAAACCCCAUUGGAACCCUUUUUUGCCCACUCAUCUCCUCUCUUUUUCCAGAUUUUUUUAUUAGUAUUAUUUUUUACUUCAUCUCAUUAUUAUUAUUUUUCUUUUGUAUUAAUUAUUUUUUUAUUUCAUGAUGUUUAAAACUUAUGAUUUUAAUUUAAAUUAAUGAAAACAUUACAAUUUUAAAUAAAUUCCUAAUUUUAAAAUAAGUUUUUUAUUUAAAAAUGAAUUUUAAAUUUCUAAUUUGAAACUAAUUUUUUGAUUUUCAAAUAAAAUUUUAAUUUUUAAAUAAUAUAUUGUGGACCCUACAUUUCGGCUUAAUGCGUUUCCCACUCGAUGGUGAGCUCGAUUUUUUAUUUGAAAAUUUGAUUCUUAUUUGAUUAAGAAAACCGACUUGGAGUCGUCACUUAUUUUUUGUUUUAUUUUAAAAGGGUAAACAAAAUAAGAAAGAAAACCCUAAGUGUGACUCCUUGUUUUGGAAAAGGUGGUAUAUGAAAAACCGGAUUGGGCUCGGAGGUCAGAUUGCUUAUUGGGAAGGUACAGUACAGACCGUAGCACCCCUCUAAGUCCCUAUAGUCGGGUCUCUACUAAUAGAAUGAAGCUGACGUGGCAAUCAAUGAGAAAAUCAAGGGAUACUCACCUAAAUCAUGCACAAUAUGAAAAUCAAAACACGCAAUAGAGAUUGACUAGAAUGGGAGUGGAUGCGUACCUCGGCCACGAGCCACAAUGCGCUAUCAAGAAAUGGAAUUAGUGCACAAUUAAUGAAUACAAAAUAUAGCUCAUGCAUAUCGGAGUGCAAACGAAACUCAAGCGAAAUACAUUAAGCACAACAAUUUACAAUCAAAAGGAAUCAAACAUAGGGCCCCCACCAAAGCCCAAUUUUUCAUUCAUGAGCUAGUCUCACAAAUCCCGUGUUUUAGAAUUAUGAAGAAUUCAUUAUUGCUUACGUAAAAUCAAGAAGAUCAUAAGAUUAUUCAGGAACCGAAAUGGGAUUAAAACUAUUCGACUGAAGACUGGAUUCUUGGAGUUUAUUUGAAAAUUGGAGUAUUUGGAAUUAAAUUUAAAAGAUUAGAGCUCCUGUAAUUAAAUUGAAAUUUGUUAAAUAAGAUGAGAAAUGAACUUUAGGAAAUUGAUCUGCGAGAAUAUGGAUUUUGAAAGUUGAAUUUGUAAUAAUAGUAAUAAUAAGAAAUGAACUUUAAGAAAUUGGACUGCGAGAAUAUAGAUUUUGAAAGUUGAAUUAAUAAUAAUAAUAAUGAUAAGAAAUGAACUUUAAGAAAUUAAACUAUGAAAAUAUAUAUUUUGAAAGUUGAAUUAAUAAUAAUAGUAAUAAUAAUAAUAAUGAUAAUAAUACUGAUAAUAAUAAUGAUAAUAAUAGUAAUAAUAAUAAUAAUAAUAAUAAUAAUAAGAUUUUGAAAGUUGAAUUAAUAAUAAUAAUGAUAAUAAGAAUAAUAAUAAUAAUAAUAAUAAGAUUUUAAAAGUUGAAUUAAUAAUAAUAAUAAUAAUAAUAAUAAUAAUAAGAUUUUGAAAGUUAAAUUAAUAAUAAUAAUAAUAAUAAUAAUAAUAAUAAUAAUAAUAAUAAGAUUUGGAAAGUUGAAUUAAUAAUAAUAAUGAUAAUAAUAAGAUUUUGAAAGUGCUUUGGGUUCCAUCCUCAUCAUAAGCCCAAGUCUAUGAGCCCAAGUCCAUUCAUUAAAAGAGCUUUGGGCUCCAUCUCCAUCAAGCCCAUGUCCAUUCAUUAAAAGAAGCCCAUGUCCAUUCAUUAAAAGAGCCUUGGGCUCCAUCUCUAUCAAGCCCAUGUCCAUUCAUUAAAAGAAGCCCAUGUCCAUUCAUUAAAAGAGCCUUGGGCUCCAUCUCCAUCAAGCCCAUGUCCAUUCAUUAAAAGAGCCUUGAGCUCCAUCUCCAUUAAGCCCACGUCCAUUCAUUAAAAGAAGCCCAUGUCCGUUCAUUAAAAGAGCCUUGGGCUCCAUCUCCAUCAAGCCCACGUCCAUUCAUUAAAAGAACCUUGGGCUCCAUCUCCAUCAAGCCCAAGUCAUUAAACUAAAAGGAGCCUAGGUCCAUUCAUUAAAAGAAGCCCAUGUCCAUUCAUUAAAAAAGCCUUAGGCUCCAUCUCCAUCAAGCCCAAGUCAUUAAACUAAAAGGAGCCCAAGUCCAUAAGCUCAUUAAAUUAAAAGAAGCCUAGUCUGCCUCCAUCUCCAUCAUUCAUUAAAUUAAAAAGAGAGCCCAGGUCCAUAAGCCCAAACGACCCAAGCCUGCCUUCAAUCUCCCGCAAAGCUGGUUUUCCACUUGGGUGUCAUCUUCAGCCAAGGAGCCUCCACCACUGGCGACGCGAUGGAGAGGGAUGCGACGGCGACAAUGGCGGAGUAGACAACAUUUUGGGUGAGGGCGCUAGUGGCAGUCAGGAUGAUGGUGCAAAUGGUGGACUCGGUGCUUGGAGAGAAAUAAUGGGAAAUAAAAGUGUAAAGAGAGAAAAUAAAUAUCAUGAAUAAUGGGCUUGGCAGGCAAGGUGGGAUAAUAGAUGUGGUGGUGUGAUCAAACAAAAUGGGUUAAAGGAGUUUAGUGGGUAUGAAGACAAGGAUCAUGAAUGGUGGGAUGAUGAGCAAAAGCUAGUGAGAGAAUAUGGGUAUAGGAGGGGUGGAUUGGUUUGCAUGCAUUUUUCCAGCAACCUUUGGGCUUGGCAGCUGCUUUAGGUUUAGGCUCGGAAGCUUUGGGCUUAAAAUUCUGGCACAAGCAUAACAAGCUCCAAACCAAAGAGUAAACUAACAAUAACUGAUUGGAAAGAUGAACCUAAAUUCACAAUCACACAACAUGCAUCAUUACAAAGCAGAAACCAGAGACUAAUAAAAAAAGUUGUAUCAAUAUUAACCUUCUAAUGGAAUAAUAAACAACUUACAAGCUGUUUGGGAAGCAAGAAUUAUUGGGUCCUCAUGUCCAGGAAACUGCUUUUUUUUUUUUUUUUUUUUUGUUGACUAAAAGCAGCCCCCAUUUGUAGAAAAAGGAGAAACGCAUGACCCCUCGGUGCCCUUUUUUCCUGCCUCAGACAACAACCCCUUUUUCAUCAAAAACCCCCCCUCCACAAGUCAUGGACCUGCUCCUCUCUUCUCUGCCACCCUUGCUGCCACCAACAACCUCACCUCAAUUCUUUCCCAUCUCACCCACUCUCAUAAAAAAAUAAAAAUCCAUACUUUGCCUUGGGGUGCUUAACCAACCGGGGGGGGUCUACAAAUAUGCCCCUCUUCGGUAGAGUUCACGAGUGUAAGGAAUAUGAGCAUUAGAGUGAAAAGAAAGUGUGAAUAGUGAGUGGAAUGAAGUGAACUCUACCGAAGAACAAAGGAGACCCCCAAAAGGACACUAACGAGACAAAAACUCACUCAAACCAACAGAUGAGCAAAAGGGGUUUAACCCUAAGAGAAAAGCAGAUUUCUCAAAAUGCCUCUAAAGCCAAACAGAGGACUCAGGCUCCCUCUAAGACGUCUCCAAAAGUGACUCGAAAGACCAUAUCAAAGAUGAGUAACGGUCGAACCCCUCUGAAGUACAAAAAAGACUACCCCCAAAUGAGACUGCCUUAUGCGAACUUCAUGAGAAUGACUAGUGUAGGGUGUCCAACAACAUGACCGAAGUAAGUGUCGUGAACUCAAAGGUCACCGUGUCAUGAGCAAUGAAAAGGGGAAUCUGGAAGAGUGAUGACAAGUAGGCGAUAAGCACAGGGUAACAUGGUGAGGAAAAUGAGAAUAAAUGCAAACCCAUGAAAGCAAGAUGUGCAAUGCCAAUGAACAUGAAUGCCAGGGACUCUAACUCUGAAUGAUACGAAUGAGGAGAAAUGACUUUGAACGUCAAAACACAAGAAAGAUAAGGACUCAAGGUGCCCGAACGAAUAUGUACAAUGGCUAUGAACGCCAAACUAAAGAGAGAUGGUGGCAUCGAAUGCCUGAACGAGUGCGAAAGAUGGCUCUGAACGCCAACACUAAGAAAGAUUGACUUUGAGCGUCGAACUGAAAGUGUGACUCGAAACGCCAAACUGAGAUCAUGGCUCCGAGCGCUGAACGGAAGAAAUAUAUGAUAGUUCGGAGUGCCGAACUAGAAACAAACAAAAGCUCUGAAUGCUAAACUGAAGAUGUACAAAGGCUUUGAGUGCCUGAAAUGUGGCUCUGAAUGCCGGACUAAAAAUGCUGAUGGCUCAGAAUGCUGGGACUGAAGACGAUGAUGGCUCUGAACGCCGAAACUGAAGAUGAUGAUGGCUCUGAACGAAGAACUGAGAACAAUGAUGGCUCUGAACGCCAAAACUGAAAAUGGUGAUGGCUCUGAAUGCCGAAGCUGAGAAACGGUGAUGGCUCUGAACGCCAAGUCGUGAAUGGUAAUGACUUUGAAUGCCGAAGCUGAGAAACGGUGAUGACUCUAAGCGCCAAAACUGAGAAGAGAUAGUGGCUCUAAACGCCAAACUGUGAAUGUUGAUGGCUCUGAACACCAAUUUGAGAAGAAAUAAUGGCUCUGAAUGCCAAAUAGAAAAUGCUAAUUACUCUAAACACCGAACUGAGAAGAAAUAAUGGCUCUGAACGCUAAAUGAAAAAUGUUGAUAACUCUGAAUGCCGAGACUAAGAAGAAAUAGUGGCUCUGAACGCUGAUUACUACUCACUAAGUGCUAUUUCAUAGCUUGUAAUUAACUCUUUUAAACACUUUUGAGUAGUAGUUAUCACCUUUUAACCCGAUUAACAUAUUAAGGACCCUUGCAAUCAAUUCUAAUCAAAUUGUGUUAAGUUUUGGUGUUUUGAUAGCUUUUUGAAUACCAAAGCAAUCCAAGAUUGAGGAGAGUUCUUUGGAAUCCAUGGCAAAAGAUGUCCGGACAGGGCGUCCGGACACACCAUCGGAGGGCAGCGGAACGUGGGCUGUGGCAGGCUGUCGGAAUGACGUAGCAAGGCUUGUGCCCUUUAGCCAAUGAUCCAGACAACAUAUCUGGAUAGGAUAUGCUAUCGUCUAAGGUGUGAUGAACAUGAGUGCCAUGUGCUUCUCCUUGAGGGAGUCCGGAUAGGGGAGCACGUCGUGUGUCCUCUUGAAGAAUCCGGAUGGAGUUGCUCCGGAUAGCGAUGCGCGCUCCGUGUCAUCAGGGGGAGGGGUCCCUACACCUUGCACACACAGACAGCCCCCUUAUGACGUGUGGCAUCGCACAUUCCACCCGGAUGUCUCACAUCCGGAAUUCUUCAGUGAAGGGGAGGAGGACCAUGGUUCAACAGUGAAUGCAAAUCCGGAAAAAUAGCUUAUUAAGGAAGAAUUGAUGAAGAAACGCACAUCUCCACCUUUUCCUCAAGCUUUGCAUGGGAAAAAGGGGAUUAGAAAUGCAUCUAAAAUUCUUGAAGUAUUGAGACAAGUGAAAGUUAAUAUCCCACUGCUGGAUAUGAUUAAACAAGUUCCAAUGUAUGCAAAAUUCCUAAAGGACUUAUGUACUAUCAAAAGAGGCUUGAAUGUGAAUAAGAAAGCCUUUUUGACUGAGCAAGUGAGUGCCAUCAUACAAUGCAAAUCUCCUUUGAAGUACAAAGAUCCGGGAUGUCCUACCAUUUCAGUUAUGAUUGGAGGAAAGGUAGUGGAAAAAGCUUUGUUAGAUUUGGGAGCAAGUGUGAAUUUGUUGCCAUACUCUGUUUAUAAGCAAUUGGGACUUGGUGAGUUGAAGCCAACAUCAAUCACCCUAUCUCUAGCAGAUAGAUCAGUAAAAAUUCCAAGGGGGGUAAUUGAGGAUGUCUUAGUUCAAGUUGAUAAUUUCUACUAUUCGAUAGAUUUUGUUGUUCUUGAUAUGGAUCCUACUGUAAAGGAAGCUAAUUCAGUUCCUAUCAUCCUUGGAAGGCCAUUCCUUGCUACCUCAAAUGCAAUCAUCAAUUGUAGGAAUGGACUCAUGCAACUCACUUUUGGCAACAUGACACUUGAGCUCAACAUUUUUUAUAUGUCUAAAAAGCAAAUCACUCCGGAAGAAGAAGAAGGUCCAGAAGAGGUAUGCAUUAUCGACACUCUAGUGGAGGAGCACUGUAAUCAGAAUAUGCAAACAAGCUCUGAGGAUGUUUCCUCAGAGAAUGAGUGGCUAGACUUUUUGUUCCUUGGAGUUAAGGUUGUCGGGAAAGGUUCCAAGUGCAAGAAUUAAUAGCUUUGUGGUUUCAGCCAUUAAUGAAGAGAAAGUGCGAUCCUUUAAUGAUUUCUAUGUUUUUAGUUAACUUAAAACACCUUCAAUUCACUUGAGCCAACACUUGGUAAGGCAAGUGAUCUUCGUCCAUGGAGAGGCACUAGUUUACCUCUUGCGAGCUUUUGGGAAGUGACUUGAAGGUAGGAUUUUCUAAAAUUGCCAACACUUGGUAAGCUUUUGGACUCCAAGGAGACAUCCAUUAGUUAUCUCUUGCGAGCUUGAGAAGGGAAGUCCAAAGUUAAAGAUCACCUUGAAUGGCAAAUGCUAGGUGAGAGGCACGAGCCAUUGCAAGUUGCAUCAGUGAGAGGGAAUUAGAUCUGAAAUCCAUUUAAAGGAUACAUCUGUACAACACCGAUCAGAGAAUUGACUAUAUGUUAAUUCUCUAAUGCGAGGAAAUGAACCAAAUGACCAGAGCUCUGCCUUUGCAUGAGGAACCUCCCCUGUGAACCUAAACCUCCAAGGAAUGUUUUUCUUCAUAAGUAACUUCCAUUACUUCCUUUUCCGUUAGUUUAAACCUAAACCUUUUUCAACCAAAGUUUGUGUUUUAUUUCUUAAGCUAACCUUGAAAUGAAAGGGCAUCAAUUCACUUUGAAUUGGUAUCAUUUAUGAAUUGAAAACCCUUCCUAGUGAACGAUCCUAGAGCCACUAUGCUAUAGUAGCUUUGUCUUUGCUACCCUAGUUCAUGGUGUAAUAGGUUAUAAAUUUUGUUGAUUACUCCCUCAAUCAAGGAGCACCAGCUGGACAUGAAUCAGCUGAUACACCAAUUGGGCACGAAUCAAACGCCAAAUGGAAAAUGCUGAUGGCUCUGAACGCCGAACUGUGAAGAGAUAAUGGCUUUGAAUGCCAAAUGGGAAAUGUAUCAGGCUCUAAACACCGAGACUGAGAAGAAAUAGUGGCUCUGAACGCCAAAUGGAAAAUGUUGAUGGCUCUGAACGUCAAGACUGAGAAGAAAUAGUGGCUCUGAAUGCCAAAUGGAACAUGCUGAUGGCCCUGAACGCCGAGACUGAGAAGAAAUAGUGGCUCUGAAUGCUAAGUGAAAAAUGCUGAUGGCUCUGAAUGCCAAGACUGAGAAGAAAUAGUGGAUCUAAAUGCCAAAUGGAAAAUGUUGAUGGCCCUGAACGCCAAGACUGAGAAGAGAUAGUGGCUCUGAACGCCAAAUGGGAAAUGCUGAUGGCUCUGAACACCGAUCUAAGAAGAAAUAAUGGCUCUGAACGCCAAAUGGAAAAUACUGAUGGCUCUGAACGUCGAGACUGAGAAGAAAUAGUGGCUCUGAACGCCAAAUGGAACAUGCUGAUGGCCCUGAACGCUGAGACUGAGAAGAAAUAGUGGCUCUGAACGCCAAAUGGAACAUGUUGAUGGCCCUGAACACCAAGACUGAGAAGAAAUAGUGGCUCUGAAUGCCAAGUGAAAAAUUCUGAUGGCUUUGAAUGCCAAGACUGAGAAGAAAUAAUGGCUCUGAACGCCAAAUGGAAAAUGUUGAUGGCUAUGAAUGCCGAACUGAGAAGAAAUAGUGGCUCUGAAUGCCAAGUGAAAAAUGCUGGAGGGAAAUAUGCCCCAGUGUAGCGUGUCACCAAAACUCUCGAUCCAUCGGAAGGGUCUAGAAGAGACUCCAUAAGUCUCGAAAGAUGCUCGGCUAGUGAAUCGGGACGUUUAAAUCGCAUGAUCCACUAGGGAAUCUCUAGAAAAGUGAUAUGAUAAGGUAACUCCCGUGAUCUCAAUACAACCAUCUACGGAAGAAUCAUGGAUAGUAAGGCAAUCACAACCCGAACGUCCUGCCCCACUGAAAGCUCACCUCGAUGAAAAUCAAAGGAGUAGCGACCAGAUGUGGAGCUUGAAAAGCCCAAAAUUUGAAGAAGGUUGAACUGAACUAGAUCCAAAUGAACACCAUGUUGAAACAGGGAUGUGGGCCUUAAUUCAAAUUCAACCAAGCUAAGCUUGAAAACUAACUUUUUGUAACCGGGGGCUUUCUUUUAUGCUUCUCCAAUGUUUUCAGUCAGGAUUGCUAAAUUGACUGAUUGAAAUGAUAUGGUUAUGAGGCCUGGACCUAGGGCCAGUAUGAAUCCGCAUGAACUUGAUAAUGAGGCCCUAGCACUUAAACCUGUCUUUUGGUUCCAUGCUUGCAAGGAUUUACCACAACCCUCAAAACAAUGAGGCAAAUCAAACAAGAUUGCAGAAAAUUCUACGGUUUUGGGCUUCGAAGGAAGUUUAUGAUCAUGAUACAAUUUAUGGGCUUGAGGGUGAGAUGAUUGGUGGACCCCCAAGCAAUUCUUUCUCAGGCAUUGUUAAGGAGUUAUCUGCUAUUCCUGUGGAUUCUCUCAGCUGUUCCAGGCAGUGCCAUCCUCCCCCUUAUAAAACCAACCUCACAUCUCUCUCAUUCACAUUUCAUUCACAACAUAUAGAAUAGUGGGUUGAGACCUGAUUAUCUGAUUGUUGGGUAUUUCAAAAGACACAUUUCCACAAAUUUUUUUAUCAUACACAAUAAAAAAAUUGAAUUUUUACUCAAGGUGUCUCUUGAAGAGACACUUUCCAUAAUUCUAUAAAAUUAAAUUCAUAUUAAAGGUGUUUCUUUGAAGAGACAACUUCAAAAAAAUAAAAUAAAAUCUAUCUAUUAAUUAGUUUUAUCCUGAAUACAACUAAAUAUUUAAAUUUUAUCACAUGUAUACAUCAUAAUCAAUAUUUUGACCUUUCAAUAUGUGGACUUGUAUUUUUCACGAUGCAUCCAACUCAACUGGCGAGACUUGUUUUCUUUUAAUGAAAAAUUGUAUUUUAUAAAAUAUUGGAGUUGCCACUUACUUUUAUUUAUUUUUAAAGGGGAAAUUAAGUAAAAACAAAACCCCUAAAAUGACUCAUGAUUUUUGGAAAAGCUAUAUGCGAAAAACUCGAGUUUAGGUCUGUGGAUCAGGUUACCUAAUGAGAAGGUACCUCCAAAGAGGUAGCACCCCUCUAAGCCCUAACGAGGUCUCUACUACCUAAGUUGAGGGAAAUAUGACAAUUAGUCAAUUUAUUAUGGAUACCUAGAUGGGCUAAGGUGAUUUCGAAUGUUUGUUAAUUCUAACAUGCCAAACAAGGGUUCUAAACACAUUUAUAAAGAAAGGAUAGUAUGCAUACUUGAAUUGCAACUUAAGCGCUAUCACAAAACAUCAAUGGUUAGUUAAAAAAAACUCAAAACCUAUAUUUCACCCUAGUCUCUUAAUCAUACAUGGCAAGUCAACAAGCAAUAAAAAAGAUAUGAAAUGAAGAUGUGAAGGUAAGAAGCGUACCUAAAUAACGUAGAUAACUUACAAUGCGCUUCCACAAUACAUGGGAGGUUGAAUCAAAGUUAUAAUAACAGACAAUUAAAAAAAAGUAAUCCUAGUGUGUAUGGUGUCUGAAUAGCAUAACAGAAAUAACCAGAGUAUAAGGAAACACCAAUUAUAAAAAAAGUCAUGUAUACAACUCCAAAAAUCAAGGGUUAUGAUUAAAACAUGUAGCAAAAUGGGUAACGCACUAUUAUCAAAAGGAAAAUUAUAAAUUAAUAUUUAGGAACAUCAUUUGAUCAUGAAAAAUUAAGACAACCUUUCUAUUAUCUCUAUAUCACAAUACAAAAACCAACAACAAAUUAUGAGAUGUUAAAUGGUCUUGAAUUAAACAACAAUGCAGGCACGAUGCAAAACUUCUAGUCUAUAAUUAGAAUAAGGCAUCUUUAAGAAUAAAUCCUAAGAAAAAAAAAUAAAAUGGAAUUUGAUCAUACCAAAUCACAAAAGACUCUCGUCAAUGUCUAUAAAAACAUACCAAAGUUCAAGCAUUCAAUUAAAUAACAUAUUCAAUUCAAAAUAUCCAAAAGUUCCAAAAGGUCUAGAAUUUGGCAGAAAAUAGUAACCAAUGUAAACUAAAUUUUAAAAAUACCUAGAAGCCUUUUAAAUUCAUAAAAAAAACUCACACAAGUCAUUUAAGAUGUCUAGAUAGUCCAAAAAUUUAAUCCAAGGUCAGAAAGCAUUCAUAAGAAUUUUUAGAAUACUAUAAUAUAUCAGUUGUCAAGAUUCAGUCAUGUAAAGUGUGACUUUGAAAAAUCAUAUCUCCGUCAAGAAGACAUAUUUUUUUUUAAUAAUUUAUGUGUUAAAAUUCAAUUUCAAGAAUUCAAUAAUCUGGGAAAAAUAUUAAUUUAAAUUGAAAAGAUCAAAAGGUAAUUUAAUUUUUCAAAACAAGAUUGAGUGUCAAAAAUAAGGGGGAAAUUGAACCUUCUGAAAAAUUGAUUUAUAUCUUAUAAUUAGAAAACCAUAUUUGAUCUAAGCAAGAUUAUAUAAUCAAGUUCAAAGAGUCUAGAAUGUCAUGGAAUAGUUAGAAAAAUUGUAAAAGGGUAUUUAAGUUAUCAGAUUCCAAUUUAUGAAUACAGAAGUAAAGUGAACUAUCCACAAUUUCAAUGAAAAACUAUGUUUUGAAAAAAAAAAAAAAAACUUUGUAUGUAGGGAUCUAUUAAAUCCCAUUUUAAUUUCCAUUAAUUUAUCCAUAAAGACUCCAUUUAUUGCACUAUGAAACUUAAUUCAUGUAUACUCAAAACCAAAAUUCAUUUUAAAACUUUUUUUCAAAUAUGCAUACCGAAUAAAAUUGGUUGCAUGAAUUUUGGAAAAUUGAAUUUUCAUAACCUAACAAUGUUUAAGAUGAAUUUGAAAAUUUGAGAAUUAACUUUUUUUAGAAAGCUAGAUUGAAAAGCAUUUUGAAAACACUAACAAAUACAAAUAAUCACAUAAAAUCACACAACUAAAAGAAGAAAAUUCCUAAGGAAACAAAGUGGUGUGUGCUGAAAGUGAGUGAAUCAUGCUGAGUUGUGUGUGAUGAGAGUGGAAGUGUGGUUGAUGUGUGUGUGUUCAUAGUGGCAACUUGGUGGUCUCCUUCUCUAUACAGCUGUGUGUGCCUUCUUCAUCAGUUCGACUAGUGUGUGUUCUUCGAAAUUCAGUUGGUGGUGUUCUUUUUCACAAGCUUAUGCAAAUUCUCAAAAUUUAGCAAUCUGAUGCGUGCUUGUGCUAGCAACCUAGUGGUUUCAAAAUCUGAUGGUGUGAUAAUGUGUUUAUUGUUUUUCUCCUCACCACCAUGCACUAUCAACUCACCUCUCCACCAUUAACAGUCGUACACAAUCAGCUUGCCUCCCCAAAGUUCUAAAGAUUUCCCUCUAAAAAUUCCAAUAAUUCUUUUAUUCCCACCAAAAUUCAAAUUUGUCCACUAACAGCCACUUCUCUAAUACCUUCUCAUCCUCUUCCCUUCAAGCCAAAACCAUGCACUAAAUCCAUGUGACUCUAGAACAUUCUGUCGCCUUCUUUUUUCCAUACAUCGUGCACAAAACAACCUCCAUUCUAGAAAAAUCUAGUGCUCACACCAAUCCCCACCGUGUUCAUAAUCAGCUUAGGUGUUCCCCACACUCUAAUGCUCUCCACUUUAAAAAUUCUGAUUUUCAUAUUUCAUUCCUCCACCAAGCCAAAUCUGGUAUCAUCUCACCAAAUACCCAUACCUUUUCAUCCAAUCAUCAACUUCAUAUCGUUCUUUCAAACCAAUGCACUCAAUUUUAACCAUUUAAAAAAUGAAUUCACGCAUUCAUUCUUCCACCAGAAAAAAUCCCCUCAUUUCCAAUCCAUCAUUCCGGUGAUAUUUCUCAUACCCAUAUGCGUGUGUGCAUGGCUAUUUGUGGGUACAACCCAUGAAAACAAAUUGUGCAUGGAGCCCUUUGGUGUGCACAACUUUAAAAAAAUUUUGGGGGUCUCUCAAGAAAAUGGACUGUGCGUGUGUUGAAACAAUUUUCAAUGGAUGCAGUUGUGUUCCAAAUGACCUUCCAUAACACUCUCAUUCUAAAGGGGGCAUGUUGUGUCUUUCUUUUUUUCAAAACCCCGUCCUCUCCCUCAACAUUAACAAGAAACCAAACAAUAGGCAGAAAAGAACAAAAACACAUAAAUGACGUAGGUUAAAGAAAAAAAACAUAGAACCUAGCUCCAUUUCAUUGAUUCUCAAUGGGCUUUAAAUGGGUGAAACCAUUAGGAAGCUGAAGAAGCUCUCAAGGAACAAUUUUAAAACAAUCCAUGCAUCAAAUAUUUAUAGGAGAGGUUAAUGAAAGAAAAGAAACACAGUAAAACCCAAAACAGAGCAUGUGCGCAUACAUAAUCAUAUUCCACAAGAUAAACUUCAAGUAAUGCCUAACAAAGCAAUGAACAUGUCAAUAGCAAUACGCAUGCAGACACACCAAAUAUUUGCAAAGCUCAAUAUGCAUCCUCUAUUACCCACAAACAAAUAGACAAAUAAUGUCUAAGUAACAAACAGAACAAUAGUAAUGAGGAAUAAUCAAUUAAAAAAAAUGCAAAGAAACCAUACCUGAAGGUGCUCUUCUAAUCCUCCCUCGGAUUGGUCAGUUUUCCUUGUUCCCCUCUCCCCCUUCAGAGAAUCUUUUCUUGUCUCUUUUCUGUUUCUCUCCGCUCUUCCUAAAAAGUCAGAACCUCCACUUUCCUCUCUUUCAUUCCUUCCUCUCAAGGCUUUUCCAUCUCAUUUUCCUUAUCAAAAUCCUUCUUCUUGAAGGUUUCUCUAUGUCCCGUCGAAAAUCACCUCUCUUCCCCAUGUAAAAACCCUUUGGAAAUCCCCUCUUUCCUCCUUCCCCAUCAUCUCUUGCUUCCAUCGUAAGUUUUCUCACCUUCAAAUUUUUAUUUUUUUAUUUUAUUUUUAAAUAAAUAAAUAAAUGAUAACAAUAAUAAUAUCAAUAAUAAAAAUAGAUAAGUAACACAUAUUAAAAUGUGAUAAUAAUAAUAAUAAUAACCGUAGUAAUAAUAGUAAUAAUAAUAGAAACAAUAAUAACAAAAAUAAUUCUUACAAUGAUGAUAACAAAAAUAAACAAUGACUAAAAAAAUGAACAAAUAAUUAAAUAUAAGUAUGUGACACACAUUCACAAAGAAGAUCAUGCAACCUAUGCAAGCUACAUCAACCAUGCAAAUAACUUAUGGGUGUUGGAGUAAGCCUAAGUGGACUAGGUGCACCUAGACGGACCGGGUAUGCCUAAUGGGCUUAGGUAAACCUAAUGGGCCUAAAUAUGUCUAACCAAGCUAUUAUAAAAGUGUACCUAGUAUCCAAAGUGGCUCAAAGAGGUAAGUUAUAUGAGUAUCGAUGGGCCACCAGGAACUACUUCGGAGUGUUGAAAGAACAUUUAAUCAGGGCAUGUGACAAGGGGACAAAAUGGAGGGUUUACACAAUCCAAUAUCAAUCAAAAUGAGUAAACCAAAUGUCAAUUAAGUCGACACUUUCUAAAAUAGUAGCAAUACUAUUUUGUCUAAAAUAAUUCCAAAAUAGGUACAAUACUAUAGAUCUUAUGUUGUUAAUCAACAAUUACUAAAUCUAAAAUAGAGUAAGUAAUAAAUAUACAUUGUUACUAUUUGUCCAAAAUAAUAACAUGCAAAGUAUUAACAAUAUCCAAAAUAGAAAUCAUAUAUAGUAACAUCCUUAAUGUGUACAACACGAAUGAGCUUUCCUUUUUCGUUGUGGACGUCAAUGAUGUGCAUGUUUCACUAUUGGUUGUAGGGGGUUGACAUGUGCUCUCCCAUGUCCUUGAUGACCACGUUCCUCACCAUGUCCUCAACCACGAUAAUCCUCUUGUCCUUGUUGAUCAUCAUUUGUUGUAUGAACUAACUCCUCAUCAACCAAUGUAGUCUUUAAUGGUUAUGGUGAUGAUGCAACAAGUGGUACUACAAGUGAGGUGGAUGACACCUCCACAAGUGUAAUAGGAGUCUCCUCCAUAGGUGGUGGGUCAAUGACAAUCAAUGGUGCAUAUCUAAGAAUAGGUAUAUGCCUAGUCUCCCUCCCAUGAGCCCAUUUUCCUCUAGUUCAUACACCUCUUGAUCGAUGCUAGAGAUGUGUAGCAACAACAACACUAAAUCAAGUCUAAUCUUACAAAGGUGGAGGAGUGGAUGAUAUCAACUAUUGAUGAGGUGGUAGACUGAUGUCAGUUGAUGGUGCACAUAUAACAACUAGUGUAUGCCUAGUCUCCCUUUUAAUAGGCCCUUGUCCUAGUUUGUACGCCUCCUAAUCUAGGUUGGAGUUGUGUAGUAGCAUCAACACUAAAUAGAGCAUCUAAGUGAUCCAUCUCAUGUAUGCCCUCUAAUACAAUAGUACACAAUCUGUGAAUAUGCAUAUCAUUUGGAGGUGCAAUAUCAUAUAUAUGAUGUAUGAUGAAAUUUGUAAGUCAAAUAUGAGAUAAGUUAAAUUCUUAUAAAAAUAAAAUAAAUUUCAAUAAAAAGUGAAGACAUGCAAAUUACCAACAGCUCAUGGAAGGACCUAGUCUGAAUAAGAAAUAAAACAGUAAUGGAGAAGUACCACACCAUCUAUGGAUCAUAAUAUCCCAAUGGACCUAUAGCCAUCUUGCCCCUAGCAAUAUGUUUGCUCCUAGAGCCCCAACAUAGAAUAUUGUCUCGAUGUUGAAUAAUCCAAUCAACAUCAAGUCUACCUCUCAAAUCACAUUUAUGUAAGAUUGACUCAUUAUCACAUGGCUGAGAAAUCCCUUGACAAAAUCCAAACUGUCGUAAUACUCAGUCAAGUCUAUGUCAUUCAACUAUGUGGAAACAUAUUAAAGGUGAGAUAAUGCACCAUAUAUCUUUCUCAACUAUACAAUAGUCAAGAACUUCAACAUUCAUGUCAUCAACAUAAGGUUUUCAUUUAAUUUAUAGUAAAAAAAGGUUAGAUAUAAUCAAUGGUUUGAAAUUUCUUUAGAGAAAAAAGUUUAAGAAAUGAAUCAAACUUCUAUCACCUGAUCUACGGUAAGUCGAUCAAGCUAGUGCCUAUACCGAACUAAGACAUGCAUCGAUGUCGAAGUAGUACAAAACUCAUAUCUCCAACUAUAAAAAUAAAAAACAAAGAAUAAAAAAAAAUAAAUGUUAGAAUUUAAGUUUAUGUAUCCUCAUAAUAGUAAAUUGAUGGUAAUGAUGCAUAUGUACUGUAUGGUUGAUGGAGAUAAAGGCAGUUGGUCAUCAUAUGAAGCUAUAUGUAAACAAUGAGAUGCAAUAAAAGGGAACCUAUCCCAUACCCACAACUGGAGUAAAAACAGUAGACUAGAUAUAUCAUGUAUAUCACUUUAAGAUACUUGACACAAUUGUUGAUAAAGUCAAGCUAAAUAGACGUUACCCUAACUAUAGCUAUCAACAACCUCAAAAUCCUCUGGAAGAGGUUGAAACAUAAGAUACACCUUAUCUCUAGAGUUUUCUAAAAAAGAAAACCUCUAAUGAGUUGUAAGAUAUAUGCCUCAAUAUAAUGCCAAAUAGACUACUCAUCAACAUCUAGUGUCAAAAUAGGGAAGCUUUGACUUAACCAUGUAACAUGAAUAUGAUCGAUUGAUUUUGUCGAUUUAUCGUAUCAAAACACAAUUUAUAACCUAAUUCACUAUUCUAGAGUAGCUUGUACCCGAACAAAAAUGGUUUUAGUACAAACUAUCGUAGUAUAGUGGUUUUUAGGUGUCGUUCACUAGGAUGGAUUAUUCUCGGUAAUUAAGGAUUGAAUGAGAGGAUAAGAAAUGAUUGUGAUAAAGUGAAAUUUAUUUGAAAAUUCAUGGUCAAAAAUCAGUUUAACAAUGGUCUCAAAUUAAGAAAAACAAUGAAAUCUAAAAUAGAAGAAAAUUAAUAGGAACUGAAAUUCUCGGAGUUAGAAUUUUCUAGAAAACAAAUUCCACGGUGAAUAGAUGUUGAGAUCUAAUUUCCAUCAAGUUUUAUUGAAAACCUAAAUUUUCAUCUAAACCAAUUUUUUAUUUAACUUUAGGUCCAGAUCUAAUUUCUCUUCAAAUUAGGUCAUUCAAUCCAAGAGAUCAAUUCAAAUCAUAUAUUCAAUUCAUCUUAAAUUAUCUUCCAAUGAUUCAAAUAAUGCAACUAUUCAAUCUCAUCAAAUCUAGCUUUAAGAAUUUAAUGAGUUUACCUAGUUUGCAUUGUAGUAGUCAUCCAAGACAAUUUGAAGAGAAAAAUCCCCAAAAUUCAAUUAAUCAAUCAAUUGGAUCAAAUUACCUUUGUAAUUCAAGCUCAUUUAUCUAAUUCACCAUGAAUCUUGCUUUUAGAUCCUCAUUUCUCCGAGAAAAAUGAGAUUUAGCCACUCAUGCUUAGAGAUUUGGUCUCACAAGGCAUGUUAGCUAGUGAGAAAAUGAGAGAAAAUAAAGGAAAAUAGACAAUUCUAUUGAGAGAGAAAAUCUAGAAAAUUCUACAAUUAGAAGUGUCCAAAAAGCUUCUCACAUGAGAAAUUCAAGUUUCUAUUUAUAGGCCAAGGUCAAGUGGACACUUGGCAACCUCUCAUUGGUCUUCUAGAACCUUCCAAAUUUAAAGAAAUCUGGAAGUUUAACAUUUCGCAUGAAAUUCGGACAUUUCGCAUAAGAUAUUCACAUUUCGCACGAUCGUGCGAAAUUCUAAGGUGAGUGGUUACCGCAUGUUGAAACACUUUCUAGACCAUUUCGCAUGAUCAUGCGAAAUCAACUUACACAUCUUCCUUAGCUUGAAACCAAUUUUCCUUCUCUAGUUCAUUUCGUACAAUCAUGUGAAAUUUUUACAUGAUCAUGCGAAUCUGCAACAUUUGGUUUUUGAGCUUCUCUUUGUCAUUUAUUCCAUUUCCUUCUUUUGAUUCCACCUUAACUACUUCCAAUUAGCUCAAAUCCCGGUCCAAACCAAUUUCUUUACUUAUUUCAUUAUGCAUUUGGAUCACCAUCAACAUUAUUUGUUCUCUUCAAUUUGAGUCAUCUCUUGUCACCAAUUUAUCAAAAUCAUUCCUUGAAAUGACUCCAAAACUUCAUAAAACUUGUUAGUAACUCUUUCAAGGGAAACAACAUGUUAAUUGAGUGUUUUAGGCAUAAUUACUACUCAAAAUAUGUGAAACUCAUGAGAAUUAUUAUCUAAAAUAUGCUCUUUUUUAUGAUGAUGACAAUGUCCAAAGAAAACAUGAUUUCAAUGAUAAGUCAAUGAUUCACAUGGAGUUUUAAAAAUUUCACACAAGUGUGCAAACUAGACAAGAAGGUGAAGUGUGUUGCAACUACUCUCUUCUUUUAAAAGAAUUUGGCACAAUCAUGCAAAAAUUCGCAUGUACAUGCGAAUAAGUCAAGAGAGCUCUAUCUUAUUGUAGUCUUCAACAUAAUUUUUGCAUGGUCAUGCAAAUUGGUCCAGAGGCUUAAAACUGUUGCAGUCAUCCACAUCAGUUUCGCACAUUCAUACAAAAAUUUCACUUGAUCAUGCGAAAUGAGAUAAAGACUCAUUUUUUAGCAUUUUCAAAACUAUGAAAAUUCUCAUGUUUUUGGCAUGAAUUCCCCUAUUUUUUGCAUGAAUGUGCAAACCGGUGAUGGGCCAUUAAAACUCAUUUUUCCUUACUUCAUGCAUUCCAUCCAUCUAAAAAGUCCUUCAAAACACAAAUCAAAAAGUUGAAGUGGAUUUAUUUAAUGGAAACUAAAAAAAAAAAAAUCAAUCAAUCAAAAUUCAAAGGAAAGUGGAGAAAUGAGAAACCAUUGGGCUACUAGCCAUUGACAUGACUAAGCCCAUUAACCUUUACAUCAAUACUCGAUUUGGAUAUGGCUUGCAAACAAUGAAUUGAAUAACUCCUUGGUACUUAAGCUUUCCCGAAAAAAGAUGUGGCUUGAAAUAACCUUCUUUGAACUUGUUCUUUUGAAUAAGUUGGUCAUGCCAUUCCUUGAACUUCUUUUUCAUGGUCUUUGAAUUAUUGUGCAUACCAUGCUUCAUGGUUUUCACUUUCUUCAAGAUGAAAGACCAUUUCAUUAACUUCAAAGGUUGAAUUUCUUCAUUGAUCUUCCAAACUUCAAUCCGUUCAUUAGAAAUUGUUUCACCAAGUUUUGAAAAAUUAUCUUCAACCUUUUCUUUCACUAGCUCUUCCAUAGGCAAUUCAAUCAAAUAAGCCUCCAUAAGUUCCUCCUCUUUGGUACCAUGCUUCUUACGUGAAUGAAAAAUGUUCAUUUCAAUUGUCAUGUUACCAAAGGUAAGUUGCAUCAUCCCACUUCGACAAUUAAUCAAUGCAUUUUUUGUGGCAAGGAAAGGUCGACCAAGUAUAAUAGGAACAUGGUUGAGUCCACUAGUUUCUUGUUCUGUAUCAAGCACCACAAAAUCAACAAAAUAAUAGAAGUUAUUGAUUUGAAUCAACACAUCUUGAAUAAUUCAUUUUGGAAAUUUAAUCGAUCUAUCUACCAAUGAAAGUGUGAUGGAAGUAGACUUUAGUUGGACAUCCUGAAUCCUUAUACUUGAUUGGGGUCUUACAUUGAAUGAUUACACUAAUUUGUUCAAUCAAGAAAGCUUUUUUUUCAAAUGCAUUCCUCUCUUUAUGGUACACAAAUCCUUAAGAAACUUGGCAUAGGCUGGAACUUGUCUAAUCAUGUCAAGGAGUGGUAUAUUAACUUUUACUUGCUUUAAAACUUCAAAAAUUUCUAGAGCAUUAUUUACCACUUUCUUAGAUUGAAGAGCCAUGGGAAAAGGUGGAGCUAAGAGCAUAUCCUUGUUCAUUUUAGCUUCACUCUUCUUCUCUUUCAAAACUUUCAGCUUUUGUUCUUUUACUCUUCUCAUCAUCUUCAUUCUUCUCGUUCUUCUCUUUUGGUUUUGGCAUAGGUUGAUCAACUUGCUUACCACCUCUUAAGGUAAUGGUUGCUUUGAUUUCAUCCUCUUUAGUAGAACUUUCACUUGUCUCUCCAAUUUCAUGUACUCCACUUGGAUUUUGUUGGGGUUGUGAAUAAAAUUUUCCUUUUUCUUGCACCGUAUGCAUGCUUGUGAGUUUAGAAAUAGAAAAUUGCAUAUUAUCAAUCUUUUGUGUGAGAUUGGUUUACAAGCUAUCAAAUUUAUGAUUGAAAGAUGUCUUGACAUGAUCUAUCCUUUGAUUUACUUGAGUAUUGAUAUUCUUUUUAUCACUAAUAAAAUCUCCCAAAAUUUUACUCAAGUUUACAAUAGCUUGCUCAACCAAAGAAACUUGUUGUGGAGAGUCUUCCAUGAAUUAUUGGCUUUGUGAGUAUUAGCUUGAAGAAAAUUGCUCUUGUCCACAAUUCCAUGACAUGUUCAAAUGAUUCUCAACGAGUCUUUCCCCCAUAGCUGGUAUUGUAAGACAAUCACUCACUUCAUGUUCUAUAGAUUGACAACUAGAACAUUGCCCCAUGUAAAUUUGAUUGUCAUAUAUUGCAUUCACCUCAUGAAAUCCCUUACCUUCAAGUUCCUCUAGCCUUCUUGUCAAAGCUAUCAUUUUAGCUUGUAGAUCAACAUUUUCAUUCAACAUAUACAUUCCUCCAUUUCAAUUGCUUUGAGACUUGGACUUGUGUAAAUCCCUUUCAUGUGGCUCAUCCCAUGACCCUGAUAUUUCAACCACAUAAUUCAAAAAUUUAAAGGCAUCAUCAAGACUUUUGCUCAUAAAGUCACCUCCACAAAUGGUUUCUAGCAAUUGCUUCACAGUUGGCAACAUGCCCUCAUAGAAGUAACUCACCAACAUCCAUGUGUUAAAACCAUGAUGAGGACAAACAUUGACUACUUCCAUAUAUCUUUCCCAACAAGCAUAAAAAAUUUUAUUGUUCAAUGCCACAAAGUUGAUAAUUUGCCUUUUCAAGCCACUAGUGCGAUGUGUGGGAAAAAUUUUCUUCAAGAAGAUUGUUUAUAGUUCCAAACAUAACCUUAUGCUUUGGGGCCUGAAUGAGUUGAACCACAACUUAGCCUUAUCCUUCAAUGUGAAUAGAAAAAUCUUCAAUCUCAUAAGCUCUAUGGAUGCAGUCCCUUCUUGAAAAGUAUGACAUACUUCUUCAAAAUCCUUUAUAUGAGUUUAAGGAUUCUCAUUCCCCAUUCCAUGAAAUUGAGGGAGAAGUAGUACCAAGUGAGUUUUUAUCACAAUAGGCUCAUUAGGAAGAAUUAUACAAGAUACCACGCCUAUCCUUUGAGGAUGCAUAUAUUCUCUCAUUGAUCUAGACAUGUGAGAAUUAUCAUUGUUUGGUCUAUGAUGACUUUGUUGGUCUUUCCCUUGAUUUUCCAUUUCUUCAACAAUUGAAUCACAAACCAAAGAUGGUUAGCAAUGCAAGUCCUUUGCAAUCUCUCCCUCAAAAUUUAUUCUCAAUGUAGCAUGCAAUGGAGAGCCUACAAAACAAGCCAAAAACAAAAAAAAAACAAACCAAGAAGAACAAAAAGAGAAAUAAACGAUAAAAAUUGAAUAAAAAAUAAUAAGAAAAAUGAAGAAUUGGUAAAGAGAACUUCACCAAUCUUGUGAUGUGGAUCACAAGGGUUAAUCCUCACCAAAAAAAAAAAAUUGUCUCAAUCACCUUGGCACCAUCCCAAGCAACGACGUCAUUUUUUAUCAAUUGAUUUUUUCGAUUUAUUGCAUCAAAACACAAUUUAUAACCUAAUUCCCUAUUCUAGAGUAGCUUGUACCUGAACAAAAAUGGUUUUAGUACAAACUACCGUAGUAUAGUGGUUUUUAGGUGUCGUCCACUAGGAUGGAUUAUUCUUAGUAAUUAAGGAUUGAAUGAGAGGAUAAGAAAUGAUUGUGAUCGAGUGAAAUUUAUUUGAAAAUAUAUGGUGAAAAAUCAAUUUAACAAUAGUAUCAAAUUAAGAAGAAUAGUAAAAUGUAAAAUAGAAUAAAAUUAAUAGGAAAUGAAAUUCUCGGAGUUAGAAUAUUCUAGAAAACAAAUUCCAUGGUGAAUAGAUGUUGAGAUCUAAUUUUCAUCAAUUUAGAUUGAAAACCUAAAUUUUCAUCUAAACCGAUUUUUGAUUUAGUUUUAGGUCUAGAUCUAAUUUAUCUUCAAAUUAGGUCAUUUAAUCCAAGAGAUCAAUUCAAAUCAUAUAUUCAAUUUAUCUUAAAUUAUCUUCCAAUGAUUCACACAAUGUAACUAUUCAAUCUCAUUAAAUCUAGCUUUAAGAAUUUAAUGAAUCUACCUAGUUUGCAUUGUAGUAGUCCUCCAAGACAAUUUGAAGAGAAAAAUCCCCAAAAUUCAAUUAUUCAAUCAAUUGGAUCAAAUUACCUUUGUAAUUCAAGCUCACUUCUUUAAUUCACCAUGGAUCUUGCUUCUAAAUCAUCAUUUCUUCGAGAAAAAGGAGAUUUAGCCACUCAUGCUUGGAGAUUUGGUCUCACAAGGCAUGUUUGGCUAGUGAGAAAAUGAGAGAAAAUAAAGGAAAAUAUAGAAUUCUAUUGAGAGAGAAAAUCUGGAAAAUUCUACAAUUAAAAGUGUCCAAAAAGCUUCUCACGUGAGAAAUUCAAGUUUCUAUUUAUAGGCCAAGGUCAAGUAGACACUUAGUAACCUCUCAUUGGUCUUCUAGAACCUUCCAAAUUUAAAUAAAUCUGGAAGUUUAACAUUUCGCAUGAAAUCCGGACAUUUCGCAUAAGAUAUUCACAUUUCGCAUGAGUGUGCAAAAUUUUCACAUGAUCAUGCGAAAUUUUCGCAUGAUUAUGCGAAAUGAACUUACACAUCUUCCUUAGCUUGCAACCAAUUUUCCUCCUUUGGUUCUUUUCACAUGAUCAUGCGAAUAUGCAACAUUUGGUUUUUGAGCUUCCUUUUGUCAUUUCUUCCAUUCCUUCUUUUGAUUCCACUACCUCCAAUUAGCUCAAAUCCCAGUCCUAACCAAUUGCAUUACUUCUUUCAUUAUGCAUUUGGAUCAUCAUUAACAUUAUUUGUUCUCUUCAAUUUGAUUCAUCUCUUUUGUCACUAAUUUAUCAAAAUCAUACCUUGAAAUGACUCCAAAAUUUCAUAAAACUUGUUGUAACUCUUGCAAGGGAAACAACAUGUUAAUUGAGUGUUUUAGGCAUAAUUACUACUAAAAAAUGUGAAACUCAUGAGAAUUAUUAUAUAAAAUAUGCUCUUUUUUAGUAGUAAUCAGAAGGCAUUGCCCCUCUAUGUAUGUGUCCUCAGUAAUAAGACUUAAUAAAGAUGACACAUGUCUAUUAUUUGGACAUGUGCUACCAAUAACUACUACUCCAUCUACUGGUAGUUCAAGAAGAAUGGUAAUGUCUUGUAGUGUAAUUGUGCACUCCCCCUGAGGUAAGUGGAAAUUAUGAGUCUCUAGUUGCCAUAUUUCAAUAAAUACAGUAAUAAGGUGUCAAUCUAAGGAAAUGAAUCCUAAGCGUGCAACACCAUAGAAGCAUGUUUGCUAUAGUAAUGGAAUAAUACGUCCAUAUGGUGCACUGGUGUAAUGGAAAAUUACCUUACAAUGUCGACAAUAGAGUUCCUUUAAGUCAACACUUGUCCAUGCUAGAGAAGACCAGUGUGUGUCCUGUCCAUGUAGAAUUGUAAGAUCAAUGGUCCUAAAUCCAUUAUGCGAUACUGUUGGGAACCCUGGAUUGCUCCGUUCCCAUGCCCUGAAUCGCAUAAGGUGCAUGCAAACCUAUCAUAGGCUCUCUAAAUCUAUCGCAACGGAUAAACAUGUAUUAAAAAUGAUAAGAAUACAAUAGAAAACAUAGAUCUAAAGAGUAAAGUCACAUACCUUUGAUUUGAAUGUUCUUAGAUAGAUUCCAAUUGAUGUAGAUAACUCCAAAGUCGUAGUAGAUCUUGUGAACACCAUGAUCUUCCACCCGAUGACUCUUCUUUAUGUCUAAGCACUGAGAUGGUGGAGAUCUCAAGGGUAGAGGCUAGGGUUCUCUCUCUAGACUGGAGGGGAGAAUGGUAAGAGAUUGAAACCCUAACCUUUAAAGGGGUAUUUAUAGGCUUCUUAUUAGGCUUAAGUUACUUAAAACCACCAUGGGCUUGGGUCACUUAAUCUAGUCCAAAAAGGUUGCUAAUUGAUUGAUUAACCAUAUAGGGCCCUAAUUAAUCAAUUAGCCUAGUCCAAAGAUGCCACUCACUUAUCCCUGUGCAACCUUGUGUAAUUACCAAAAUGCCUUUGUACACAAAAGUGAACUAAAAACCCAUCCAACCCUCAUAAACCGUGUUAUCAAGGAAUAUGAGCUCAGAGCGGGGACCACUAUGACCCAUAGGAGUAUUGGCUCCCUCAUAAUCAAAUUCUGAAAUUGACUCAACAUCCCACUAUAGAGAGUCAACUACACUCUAGUACCUUAUGUAAAUUACAACGAGACACUAAGUGCUCAGGUUAGUGACCUACUAUCCACUAUAUGCAAACUCCCCAUGAAUUGGUGUCCAUAAUCUAUUGAAGUAGUGUUAUCACCUCUCAAAUCCUUGAGUUAUAGAUCCCACUUAUUAUGUGAUCAACUUACUCUAACUCUAAGGAGCAUAUGUCAAAUUCCACUAAAGGAAUUACUAUGGCCACAUAUUUCAUGAUCAUAUGUUCUUUAGAUCACCAAGGGGACACACUGUCUCAAUCCCAUGAGAUAUCAUGGUGUUUCUUUUGAGAAUACCUAUUGCCACCAGCCUCCAUCAAUAGUGACCCAAUCCAUAGGAAUAUAUAACCACUUUAAGGUCUCACCCAUUGUAGACCCUCAAUUUUGUUCCUUUAGCACAUGCCUUUAAGUUCAUUUCCAGUGUUCCACAAUAGUUCCUUGGUGGCCCGUAGCUACUCACACUACUUACCUUUCUUGAGCCACCUCGGAGACUCUAGUUAAGGGAUUGUCUAACCCCUUAUUGUGACCCUUGGCAGUUUUUAUUAGACUUAAGCUUUUCAUUCCUUUUUAGGAUAGUGCAUAGGCAUGUUUAGGUCACUUAGACAAUAUCCCGAUCACUUUAGGACACUUAGUUCAUUAGGCACCCACUUAGGCCCGUUUAAACACUUCAUCGGGCUUAACUUUUAUAUAUAUAUAUAACUUUUAUUAUUAUUAUUAUUAUUAUUGCAUGCAUUCGAUGAUUAUAUUUAUUUUGUUUAUUCAUUUUUAUUUUUACUCUUUAUUUGUUUAUUAUUAUUAUUGUCAUUAUUAUUAUUAUUACUAUUUUUAUUUUUAUUUUUAUUUUAUUUAUUUCACUUAUUGUCAUUAUUAUAACUUUUAUUAUUAUUAUUAUUAUUGUAAUAACUUUAAUACUCUAUAAUACCCUCAUUAACAAGGGCAUUCCCCCCUCAAGAUGGAACAUAUAAAUUUUCAUUGGUUAGCUUGGAAUUUUUAUCAGAGAGUUGAAACCCGGUGCUAGACCAAUUGCCUGCACGGAACAUGAUGACGUUGUUGUAUGUGCUGCAGAUGAUCGUCUAACAGCAUUUAAAUCUUUUGAAGUUUCUCUAAGAUUUUGGAUUACUGAAUUAUCUAUCGCUUUGAAUAUUUGUGAUCUAAGAGCUACACAUCUUUUAGAGGUUGUUUUGGUCUCAGCUUUUGCUAUUUUGAUUAGGUAAAAUGAAACUAAUGGUCAGAAGUACUUUCUGUUGAAGAGUAAAAAGUAGUUAUGAUGCAAGAAGUGUGAGCUCCUCGUACCAUCACCCCGGUUGAGACCUUGUGGUUUUCCAUGAAAUUUCCCACAUUUUUCUUUGGUGUGACAUGCUUUCUUGCUGUACGAGCACCAUAGUUUCUUCUUUGUUUAGUUCUUCAUCAACUCCUAUCUUCCUUGCUUCAUGUUAACAUUAUGAUUCGUACCAUUUGGUUUGGCUCCUCCACUUGGUUUCUUUACAAUCAUGGUUGAUCCAUCCACUAGUGGUGUAUCAAGCAUCACUUGUAGACCUCAAAAUUUGUCCUAAUUUUAUUUUUUACAUUAAUUUUUUAGCCCAAUUUUAAAUCUCGAUUACAUGUGUUAUUUUAGGCCUACUCGCCUUUUAAUUUUUAGUUUUCAUUAUUUUGUAAAUUAUUAUUAUUAUUAUUUUUAUUUUUAUUUUUAUUUUUACUUAUUAAUUUUAUUUGUUGUUAUUAUUAUUAUUAUUAUUAUUAUUAUAUUAUAUUAUAUUAUAUUAUAUUUUUAUUUUAUUUAUUUAUUAUUAUUAUUAUUUUUUUCUUUUUCCUCUCUCUUCCUUUUUCUCCUCCACCUACCCUCACCCACCCACUUCUUCUAUCUCCUCCCAUACUCCUCACCACCGGCCACUUUUCAUUUUUUCCCCCCUUUUCUUCCCUAACUUNNNNNNNNNNNNNNNNNNNNNNNNNNNNNNNNNNNNNNNNNNNNNNNNNNNNNNNNNNNNNNNNNNNNNNNNNNNNNNNNNNNNNNNNNNNNNNNNNNNNCCCUUUUUUUUCCAAAAUUUUCUAACACUUUUCCCUUUUCCCCCUUUCGGGACAAACCCAAACCCCCCCCCCCCCCCCCCCCUCCCCUCCCCUCCCCUCCCCUCCCUCAUCUCCCAUUAGAGGGUUUUUUUUUUUUUUCUUUCUUUCUUUCUUUGGCUACUACUCUUUCUGAAGACAGAGGGAACAGACCAAUUUUUAUUUUUAUUUUCAUUUUCUUUUCUUCCUUCAUUCCUCUUCUUCUUCCCCCCAUUUUUUCUUCUCUUCCUCCUCCAUUUUUUUUUUCCUUUUUUAUUUUUUCUCUUCCCGUUUUCCCAAGAGGGCCAACCCCCAUAUUUAUUUUUUAUCGACAAGAUCAUCGGUCGGGCGCCUUCAGCGAGCCCCAGUCAGCCGGCAACCUCCUCCAUUUUCUCCCAUUCUCUCACUUCCCGUAUCACUCAUUUUCCAUUAUUAUUAUUAUUAUCAUCAUCAUUGUUAUUGUUAUUAUUAUUAUUGUUAUUGUUAUUGUUAUUAUUAUUAUUGUUAUUGUUACUGAUGUUAUUUUAUUUUAUUUUAAUAGUAAUUGUUGUUUGUGAAAUUUGGAUUGUUGAAUUAAUUUGAAAUUUGUUAAUUUGGGUUUGUGGGUAUAUUGUAUUUGGUGAUUAAUUUGAGGAUAUUUGGAUUAUAUCUAUUGCAUAUUGUUUAUUUGAACUUGGGCUUAUUGUUAAGUUGUUAUUUGUUUAAGCUUAUUGGAUUGGGCUUGAAAUAUUAUUUCUCUUGACCAUAUUUUUUUUUUAUGUGGGCUUAUUAAUUGAUGUGAAUUUUGGGACCCAUAAUGUGGGUGGGAUUUGUUGAAUUAUUUGAAUAUUUGAUAUGGGCUUGGCCAAUUUGAAUUGUUUAAUUUGGACAUGGGACAAUUAUGGUGUAUAUUAAACUAGACUUAGAUUAUGAAAUAUUAAAUUUAGGUCUAGUAGAAUUUAUUUUAAUUUAUCCAAUUUUAGGUUUGGUUGACUGUGUUUGUAUUUUUUGUUAUUAAUUUGGAUGUUCUGGGUUAAGACCUAUAGUAAUUUGGACUCAUUUUAAUUGAAAAAAUUUAUGGGACUAAUUUGAAAUUGGAAUUUGGGUUUGAAUAUUUGUUUGGGAUUUUAUAUAUCUCUGGAUAUUUACAUUUGUGCUAUUUUUGUUUUUGCAUUGACCCAUUCUGUAAUCUUGUUGGCUGAGUACGAAUUGAUGACGUGUGGAGCUUGUUGUAAGUUUAUUUGGGUACAUAUUUUAUUUCCCACUUUUAUUUGGUUUUAUUUUAAUUAGUUCUUGUAAAUAUUUGUUCAUAUAUAUUUAUUGAAUGUGUACAGAAUUGAACAUCGAACAAAUUAUAAAUUUUGUUUAAAUGAGAGGAAGAAUUCAGUAAAUAUGUUCUAAUAAAAUACUAAUUUUAAAAUAUUCUUUUUAAUAAAAAAAAGUUUUUUUUUUCAUUAUUUAUAAAAAUUCAGAAAAAUACAUUUAGAAAAAUCCAAAAAAAUUUGUUUUUAAUAGAAUUCGAAAAAUUGUUUUUAAUGACAUUGUUAAAAAUUUCUUUGUUUAAUAAAAAUUGUCCAAAAAUUGUUUUGUAAAUAAAGUUGUUCCAAAAAUUAAUUUUUAAUAAAAUUGUCUAAAAAUAUUUUUUCAAAUGAAUUUUUUUUCCUUAAUUAAAAUGGGAUUAAAAGUGUUUCAAAAAUAGAGAAUUUAAAUCUUUGUUUUUCUUUCUAAUUAAAAUUUCUUUUGCAAAUAAAGUUAUGUCAUAUUAAAUAAUUUAUAAAAAUCACUCUUUUAAAUGAAAAUGAAUCUAAAUACUUUUGUAAAUAAAAUUGUAAAAAUUCAUUAUUUUCUAGUAAAAGCAAGUAAAAAUAAUUUUUGUACCCAAAUUGAAAUUUUGUAAUAAAUUCUUUUGAUACAAUAAGUGUAAAUAGCUUUUUUAAAAAUUGAAUACAACUGAAAUUGAGAAAAUAAAUUGAUUAUUUUUUAUAAGUAAAAAAAUUGAAAUCAUUAAUUCAAAAUCAUUUUUAAUAAAAUCCUUUGAAAUUUAUUUAAAACUUUUUUUAAUAUCUUUUAUUUAUUUAAUUCAAUAAAUCAUUUUGCAUAAUUCUCUUAUUAUUUAUUUUGUGUAUUUUGUAAUUAGAUUCCAUCAUUGUUUUUGUGCAUAUUAAUUUUCACCAUGACUUGUAUAUUGAUUAUUUUUCUUGAUAUCCAUAAUUAAUUAAUCAAUUGCCACAAUUUCCUCAAUUCAUUUAGUAGAGGUCGUAUGUAUACGGGCUUAGAGGGGUGCUAUGGCUCACCAUCGUACCUUCCCAAUGAGUAACCUGACCCCCAAACCUAGACUCGGUUUUUAAUAGACCCGGUUUUUCCUUUAGGAGUCACACUUAGGGUUUUUCUUUCUUAUUUUGUUUUUCCCUUUAAAAAUAAAACAAAAAUAAGCGGCGACUCCAAGUCUUUUUCUAAAAAUCAAAUUUUCACCCAACAAAAUAAAAAAAACGAGUUUUCGCCAUCAAGUGGGAACGCAUUGAGCAAAAUGUGGGGUCCAUAAAAUGGCGACUCCACUGGGGAAUCAUUUUAGAGGGUCAAACUUGAACUCGAGUUGAGGGAAAUGUGACAUUUGAUUGGUCGAUCAAUGGAUACCCCUAUUUAUGUGUUUUUGUAUGAUUGAGUGUUGAUUACACGUUGAGAACUUUGAUAUGUUUAUUCGUGAGGCAUGUUUAGUUAUUAUUGUUCAUUGGAGAUGUUCACAUAUUGAUUACAUCGAUUGAUUCUCUUACCUACUUUAGCAUAGUUACUCUUCUUGUUGUAUGAUUGUCUUAUUUUCCUUGACAUGCUAUUCUCAUUUUUGUAUAUCUUAUUCAUAUUGGCAUGAUUGAUUCUCUUUAUUGUAUAUUAUUUUGUUUAUCUCGACAUAUUGUUUAUUCUUGUUAUAUACUUAUCUUGCUUAUCAUAUUCUUGCCUAACUUGUGUGUAGAUAUGAGUGAUAUACCUGUUAUUUGCAUGACUGCUUGGUGCAUAACUGCUAUUCUUCUAUGUGAUGCAUGUAUUGCUUGUCUAUGCGAGACACACAUCUAUUCCCUUACCUCCAACUCCCUAGUCUCGGUUGACCUUGUUUCACUUGAUCUUGUAUUUGAUAUGAGACUUGUCACUUUGUUUGCUCUUCGAUCGAGCUAGCGGUUAGGAGUAGGGUUUAGUAACGGGCUAUAUCAAUGUUUGGAAGCAUUUUGGAGGAGGCCAACACGUUGAUGCUGAUGGGAGUCCAAUCUUUGAAGACUUGUAUAGCCCAGAGCUAGGUUUCAUGGAUAUUUGUGUGAUCAGUGUGUUUCUUUUUUCUACUUUAGCUUCAUAGGAUUUUCGAAUGCACCCACACCGUCAUUGCGCACUCUAGCGGACCAUUGAGAGUUGAGAGUUUUGAGAGGUUUCACCAUAAAAAAAACCCCUGGGAUGUCGAGGUAGUGCAUGUGUGGAGGUGAUGACCACCUUGCAUGGAAGUGUCCUGUCUCUUCGGAGGCGUGCAAAGGGUUGCGUACCAUCGGAGGGUAUGAUCGCUUCUGCUAGGGAUCUUUUAAAGUCCACCCAUAUCCAUUUAGAGCCACCUUGACCUCGUAGGUUGAACCGUAGAUCCUCCGAUUAGGACUCCCUUCAUACACGUGGGUGCAUCUGAGGGCCUUCAGAGCCUCUUUGAUCAUAGGUAGGAUUCAAUAUUCCUUCUUUUAGUCUCCAGUUAAGAGUGUACAAAGAUCAGUAUGGGUUUGAGUUACAGUCGGACAACCCUUCUACACUUUGAUGCCUUGCUCAUUCUAGUUCAGACUAGCAUUUCUUCCAUGUUUUCCAUGUGCAUAUCAUAUCUCGUGCUUCAUGCUCUUCAAGAUUGGUUCUUCAUUCUCGGUGUGGAUUUACCAUCUUGGGUUAGAGUAGAGGGGAGCUUAGUUCGAUUUUUCAAGAGAUCAGGCAUAGAUCAGCAGACUAUCAUAGUUGAUUAGUUCACGAAUGCCAUGGAUUCUAUUUAGGUAUCUUGUGUUUCAUGCUCUUCAGGAUUGGUUCUUCAUUCUUAGUGUGGAUUUGUCAUCUUGGGUCAGAGUAGAAGGAAGAUUAGUUUGCUUUUCCGAGAGAUCAAACAUGGAUCAGCGGGUUGUCACAAUUGAUCAGUUCAUGACUGCCAUGGCUUCUAUUUAGGAGGUCUUGGCUAGUCUCAGGCGGGAGAUAGACAGUCAACAGAUUAGAUAGCCCAUAGUUCAGAAUGAGAUGCCUUAUGACAACCACCUUCACUACUACCACCUGUUUCGACAAUAUCAUAGGCUCCACCCUAUAUAUUACAUGGUCAUUCUGAGGUUGCCCCGGUUGUAGUAGUCCAGACCACAGUCCUUGAGGAUACUUAUGCAUGUAUGGAUCAUAUUGAAUAGUGUAUCAGGCAGUUGAGAGUAUUUGACAGUUCAUCGACUUGGGAUGAUCUUGAUAGUAUACCAGUGGCCAGUCUACCGGCCAAGUUCAAGAUGCUUGACAUUAAGAGGUACAUGGGCAUUGGUUGUCCAUGUAUUCAUCUUCGACUCUAUAGUACUGUGAAGAGGGCCCAUGGGUUAGACGAGUCAUAGAUGAUCACCAUGUUUCCUUUAUCUCUGAGUAGCGCAGCCCAGCAUUAGUUCGCAUCUUUGGAGUCCUCACGACGCAAGUCAUGGGAUGACCUAGCUUAGGAGUUUCUUUGACAGUUUUCAUUUAGUACUGUCGUAGAUGUGUCGAGGAGAGAGCUUGAGGGUUUCAGACAAAGAUUAGAUGAGUUCAUUUCUUCCUUCAUCUCCCGCUGGUGGGGGAAGAUAGUAGAGAUUGUUGAUUGACCAUUAUAGAGAGGUGACUUUAGUCUUGAGGGUCAUAAGAGGAUUGAUUAAAGAUCCUAUAGGGAAGUUCAGACCCAACUGGAGCGGACCUUAUUUCAUCAGGAACUUGACCCUAGAGGGCACUACAUGGUUGAUGGAUUUAGAUGGAAACCAAUUCUUGGAGCCGACCAAUGUGGAUCAGCUAAAGAGGUACUAUGUUUGAGACCAUGGUCGUAGGAUGGGUGAUCAUCAUUUCGGUAAGCCAUAUACCUUGUUAUUCCCUUUUGAUAUAUAGUCCGUUGCUAGCCCAUUGAGUCUCGCAUGCAUAUUACAGUCUUUCUUUCUUAUCGCCUUGCUCACAUUUUUCACACUAGGAUAAGGGCCCUUUAGUGUAUGCAUUCAUUGUUUGGGAGUUCCAUGAGCCUUAGACCUAGGGGCGCAUACUUCUCAUUAUCUUUCCUUAUCACUGCAUCACUGCAUUCCAUUGUAUCUCAUUGGUUGUGUUCUUCAUCUAUUCUUUUUUUAUUCUAUCUACUACUUGUUUUGAUUCAUAUUCUUUCCACCCUGAGUGGUGAUCCUCCUCAGUUCAUUACACGGAGGGUAGUCACAUCAUUACCACUGUCUAUCCCACGGACACUAGUUCAGAGAUUCUUAGUUUGAGAAGGUCAUCUUGUCAGAGAGAGUUUUUGUUACCUUAGCGCUCGAGAGUGUGUCUAUCCAUUAUUGAUAUCAUCUUUGGGGCUUAUUUUGUUCAUAUUCAAGGUGUGUACAUUUGUAUAUAUGUAAAAAAAAAUGAAAAGAAAAAAAAUGAUGAAAAAAAAUGAAAUGAAAAAAAAUGAUGAAAAAAUUGAAAAAAAAAAUGAAUGAAAAAAAUGAAAAAAAAAAACUGCAUGUGUGUAUUAUUUUCUAUCAUUGAGUGUGUAUAUUGAUGUUCGAGGGUCACUUAAUUGAGUAUGUUUGUUGAUGGGAGUUCGUGUGUGAGCUUUCCGAGACCCUCCAUGCUUUGUAUUCAUUUUUAUUGUAUAUUUUGAGAAGGAGAUGAGUGACCUUCUCUUAGAAGCUCUAGGUCAUUGUCAUUGCAUCAUUACGUUCAUUGUUGAUGUGAGUUCACUCCAUGUCUGAUUUGAGUUGAUCACUACUCCUCUUUGUGUUAUUUGUUUCAUCAUCAUCCUCGUUUUUGCUUCUCAUUCAUCAUUUUCACUUCACGUCUUAUUCUUUUCUUACAACAACCCAUCUCGGGUUUGACACUCUCUUCGCAUCAUCAUUACACAUAUCAAUAUCAGUUCCUUUUGCUUCUUUUGUCUCCUCAUCAACAUCAUAUUCACAUUAGGCAUUCUCAGGUCUAUGGCUCAUAGGAUUCACUAUACAUGUUGCAUUUCAUAUAUGAGGGCAUGGGUUUUUUAUCAUUGGGUAUUUGAGCCUAGUUUUCCUUCAUUUCUAUCACCCUAUCACCUUGGCCUACAUUACGUUCCGUGUCUUAAGACCGCCCUGAGGCCAUGGGAUCAAAUGUCAUCUUCAACAGCCUCUACUUGGACAAGUGUUUGAGAUCUGGUUGAUAUUUGGAUGUCGUCAUGCUUCUUCUUCUGGGAGUCGCAUCUUUGAUGUUUAGAUCUGAUUCAGUUGUGUUUAGAUUACCGGGAUCAUGCAUUUGAUGAUGGAUGAUUUGAUGUCACCUAAUUUUCUAACUAUCACAUAUUCGAUGUCAUACAGGGGCAUAUUCCGUCUCGGGCGAGAUUUACAGAUCUUCACAGAGUUGCAUGCUCAUCUCCACUUGCAAGAUGUACGCUGAGAUGAUGGUCUAUUUGCUAUUUUUAUGAUGAUCCCUUAGUGGAGCCUAUGUGGAGCCAUUCAUCCAGACCCACAUUUCUCGAUAUUUGGUUGUUGUCAUGCUUUUUAUUCCAAGAAACGUUCCCUAGAUGUUUGGAUUUGAUUUGGAUCAUGGAGAUCGCAUGUUCGAUGAUGGAUGAUUCCAUGUCACCUGAUUUCUGACCUAUCGUACAUUCGAUGCCAUACUAUGGCAUAUUUUCGUCAUGGAUGAGAGUUAUAUAUCUUCAUGGAGCUGUGUGAUCACUCCCACUUACGGGAUAAUCAUCGAGACGAUGACCUGUUCACUAUUUUUAAGAUGAUUCCUCAGUGAAGCCUCCUUAGAGACAUCCAGCUAGGCCUGCACUUCUCGGCACUUAGAUGCCAUCAUGCUUCUCCAUCUGAGAAGUACAUCUUAGAUCUGUGGCUAUGAUUCAGUUAUGGGGUUUGGAUGACCAGGAUUGCAUAGUUGAUGAUUGAUGAUUUCAUGUCAUUUGAUUUUUCUGACCUGUCACACAUUCGAUGCCAUACUGGGGCAUAUUCGCCCUGUCGGUCGAGAUUUGUAGAUCCCCACUUAUUCGUAUGAUCAUCCCUAGUUAUGAUAUAUGCGCCAGGUUGAUGAUUCCAUUUCAUUUUAUCGUGAUUCUCUAUUGGAGCCUUUAUUGAGUCUUUCAGUCAGGCUCAUAUUUUCCGAUAUUGUCGUGAUUCUUGGGUGAAGUUACUCCAGGCGCAUAGGUUCCCACAACACCAUUUCAGUGGAGUACAUGUCAGAUCUUUUAUGCAUCCCCAUGGAGUUAUUCUUGAGUUAUCAGGACAGAUCAGGUACAUCUAAUGCCAUGCUGGGGCAUAUUCCUUCCUUUAGCUAUGGAGAUGAUCCUUCUCUCACGGAUCUAUUAUAGUUUUCAUCACUCGGCCGAGAGAUACUGUAUUUGCUUUACUGGUCACUAUUCUUGUGAUUUUCAUCGAAAUGAGCUUUCGAUGGAGCAUGACAUUCAGGUUGUGAUUGUCCCGCUAUCCAUGACUCCGCAGUAGAUUGUUUUGAUGAGAUCAUGGUAGUUACCCUAGCGGAUUAUUCUCUUAAGACUCCCUAGUGGAUUACCCAUUUGAGAUGACGAUGGAUUCCUCCAGCAGAGCAUUUCAAGAUAGAGACGUCUGACUCAUUGUGACAUCUCGUUAAGCCUCGUGAUCCAGACGGAUGGGUUGCACGACUAUGUUUAUAGUCGAUUUGAUCAUUCCAACUCGCUAGCAAAGCAUCUCUUGAGGCUCAUGGAGUCUCUUUUAUACCUUGUCAGAGGAUGGAGAGUUGUGGCGGCAUGCUACACUAGGGCAUAUUCCCUCCCCCCCCCCCCUCCUCAUCGUUUCCUUGUCGUUUGGAGUUCAGAGUUGCCAUCCAUUCUCGGAUACGAUGUACAGAGUCGUCCAUUUUCAACUUGGCGUUCAGAGCCACCAUGUCUUCUCAGUCACGACGUUUAAAGUCGUCUUUCUCAGCCUGACAUUCCUAGUUAUUAGUCUAGUUGGGCAUUCAAAUCCGUUGUUUCUGCUUGGCAUUCAUAGCUAUUAUUUUUAGUUUGGUGUUCAAAGCCACCACCUCUUUUCAAUUUGGCCUUCAGAGUCGUAUUUUCAUUUUGGCAUUUAAUGACACCAUCUUUCUUUAUUUUGGCAUUCAGAGUCGCAUAUUUAGUUUGGCGUUCAAAGCCGCAUUUUCAUUUCGGCAUUCAGAGCCACAUAUUUAUUUUGGCGUUCAGAUUCGUAUCUUCAGUUUGGUGUUCAGAGUCGUAUUUUCAUUUCGACGUCAAAGCUACCACCUUUUUCGUUUGGUGUUUAGAGUUGUUGUUCAUUUUCCAUUUGGCGUUGAGAGCCACAUUUUCAUUUUGACAUUCAGAUGCUUGUUGUUUUGUUCGACGUUCAGAGCCACAUCUUUAUUUCGGCGUUCAGGAGCCGCAUCUUAGUAUCGGCGUUCAGAGUCGCAUUCUCAAUAUCGGCGUUCAAAGUUGCAUUCUCAGUUUUGGCAUUUAGAGCCAUCAUCGAUUUUCAGUUUGAUGUUCAGAGUCGUAUUUUUAGUUUCGGCGUUCAGAGACAUCACUUCUUGGUAUCGGCGUUCAGAGCCAUCUUCAUCGCAUUUUCAGUUUCAGCGUUCAGAGCCAUCAUUGUCGUUUCUCAGUUUCGGCAUUUAGAGCCCUCAUUGUCGCUUCUCAGUUUCGGCAUUCAAAACCAUCAUCACUUCUUAUUUUAACGUUUAGAGUCACAUUCUCAAUUUCGACGUUCAGAGCCAUCAUCACUUCCCAGUUUGACGUUUAGAGUCACAUUCUCAGUUUUGGCGUUCAGAGCCAUCAUCGGUUUUUAGUUUGAUGUUCAGAGUUGUAUUUUCAAUUUCAGCGUUCAAAGCCAUCACCGUUUCUUAGUUUCGGCACUCAAAUCCAUCCUCGUCGCAUUUUCAGUUUCGGCGUUCAGAGCCAUCAUUGUCGCUUCUCAGUUUUGGCGUUCAAAGCCAUCAUUGCUUCUCAGUUUGACAUUCAGAGUCGUAUUCUCAGUUCCGGCGUUCAGAGCCAUCAUCACUUCCCAGUUUGACGUUCAAAGUCGCAUUCUCAGUUUUGGCAUUCAGAGCCAUCAUCAGUUUUCAGCUUGAUGUUCAGAGUCGUAUUUUCAGUUUCGGGGUUCAGAGUCAUCAUCAUUCCUUCUCAAUUUCACAUUCAGGGAUGUCAGUUCUCAAUUUAGUGUUCAAAGCCAUGCUUUCAGUUUGGUGUUUAGAGCCUCAUCUCUGGUUUGGCGUUUAGAGCCAUCAUCCUAUCAUGAUCGGGCAUUCAUUGCCACAUUUUCCACGUUUAGAGCUACGUUCCUAGCAUUCAGGACUGUCAGUUAAGUUUGGACAUUUAGAGCUUCGUCUUUAGUAUUUAGUGUUAUUAGUUUUUUUAGUUUGGCAUUCAGAGCCAUGUCUUCAGUUUGGUAUUCAGAGUUAUCAUGUCUUUCUUCAGUUAGGCGUUCAAAUCCACCAUAUCUCUUUCAAUUCGGUGUUUAGAGUUGCAUUUUCAUUUUGGCAUUCAGAGUCGUUGUUUGUUUCAGUUUCACAUUUAAAGUUGUGCUUGUAGUUUGACAUUCAGAGCCAUUAUUUAGCUUGGAAUUCAGAGCUGUCAUAAGAGCCAUCGUAUGUUUAGUUUGGCGUUCAGAGCUAUCAUUCACAAUUUUGCAUUCAGAGCCAUUGUUCACACUCAGCGUUCAGAGCCACCACAUCUCCACAGUUUGGAGUCUAAAAGUCAUCAUUCAUAGUCAGGCAUUCUGAGCCGUUGGUCAGCUUGGCAUUCAGAACCAUUAUAUCUUCAGCUCGACAUUUAGAGCCAUUAGUUAGCUUGGCAUUCAGAGCCAUCAUAUUUUUAGUUCAGCAUUUAGAGCCAUUGGUCAGCUUGGCAUUUAUAUGCCACCAUAUUUCUUCAGUUUGGCAUUUAGAGCCACCAUUUUCCUUUAGUUCAGCGUUCGGAGCCGCAUUCCUAGCAUUUAAAGUUGUCAUUCUCUUUUAGUUUGGUGCUCAAAGCCACAUUGCUAGCAUUUAGGGUUGUCAUUUUCUUUUAGUUUAGCAUUCACAGUCAUUUUCUUCACUUUAGAUGUUUAAAGCCCUGAGCUUGCAACCUAGAGUCGUUCUUUCAAUUUAGAGCCCUGAGCUCACGACCUAAAGUCGUUCAUUUCAUCUAUGACCCAGAGUGAUUCUUAGCAUUUAAAGCCCUGAGCUCACGACCCAGAGUCGUUCUUCUUAUUCAUGACCCAGAGUCAUUCUUUCCAUUUGGAGCCCUGAGCUCAUGACCUAGAGUCGUUCUUCUUAUUCAUGACCCAGAGUCAUUCUUUCCAUUUGGAGCCCUGAGCUCAUGACCUAGAGUCAUUUUUCUCAUUUAAGACCUAGAGUCUUUCCAAUCUUGAGCUGAGCCUUCAUCAUUUGGUCACCCAUGAGUGGCAUGACUUGGAGUUUGUGUAUCGCAUUCUCUUUCUAGUUGAUCAGUCAUAGAGCCUGGAGCUCAUAGCCCUAAGCUAUUCACCUAGCCCUGAGCCAUUCAUUGUAACCCUGAGCUACUCAUUACGUCAUGACCCAGAGUCAUUCAUGGCAUUUUGAGCCAUGACCUCACGACCCAGAGUCAUUCCUAUUCUUCACAUCCCUGAGAUGUUUCAUUUUCAUCAUUCUAGCCACCUAUGAGUGGCCUCGACCCGGCACCACGAGCAAGAAAGCAUCUUGAUUGGCCAUCCAUUUAAAGCCUUGAGCUCACGACCCAAAGUCGUUCUUCUCAUUUAUGACCCAGAGUCAUUCUUAGCAUUCAGAGCCCUUAGCUCAUGACCUAAAGUCAUUCUUCUUAUUUAUGAUCCAGAGUCAUUCUUAGCAUUUAGGGUCUGUUCACAAUUCAGAUCCAUUUUCACCAUUUAGGCAUUCAAAAUCACCAUUUUUCUUCAUAGGCGUUCAAAGUUGUCUUUUCCAGUUUUAGGCGUUCAAAGUUGUAUUUAUUAGCUUAAGGCAUUUAGAGCCGUAUUUUCCAGUUUUAGGAGUUCAAAGCCAUCUCUUUUGGUUUUAGGCGUUCAGAGCCAUGUCUUCAGUAUAGGCGUUCAAGGUCAUUUCUCCUAGUUUUAGGCAUUUGGAGCCACUUUCAUCAGUUUUAGGCAUUCUGAGCCAUCUCUAUCAGUUUUAGGCGUUUAGAGCCAUGUCUUCAAUUUGACAUUUAGAGUCAUUAUCUUCUUCAUUUUGACAUUUUAGAUCCAUCAUCUUCUUUAGUUUAGCAUUCAGAGUCAUGUCUUCAUUUUGGCAUUCAGAGCCAUUGUCCAUUUAAGCGUUCAAAGCCAUCAUGUUCCUUUAGUUUUGGCGUUCGGAGCCGUUAGGCAUACUCAUUUAGACAUUUAGAGACUCUUUGUUCUUGUUUUGGUUUAAGAGAGCCCAUGUCAUACUGGAACAAAUUUGGAGGUCUUUCUUAUUCUUCAGCAAAGUUCACUUCGUUUCGUUCGUGUAUAUACUCACUUUAUUCAUGAACUCUACCAAAGAGGGGCAUAUUUGUAGACCCCAAAAUUUGUCUCAAUUUUGUUUUUACAUUAAUUUUGAGCUCAAUUUUAAAUCCCGAUUACAUUUGUUAUUUUAGGCCCACUCACCCUUUAAUUUUUUGUUUUCAUUAUUUUGUAAAAAAAAUUUUAUCUUAUUUUAUUUUUAUUUUAUUUUUUUUACUUAUUAUUUUUAUUUGUUAUUAUUAUUAUUAUUAUAUUACAUUAUAUUAUAUUAUUUUUUUAUUUUUUUUAUUUUUUAUUUUAUUUUUUUCUCUCUCCUCUCUCUUCGUUUUUCUCCUCCACCUACCCUUACCCACCCACUUCUUCUCUCUCCUCCCAUACUCCUCACCACCAACCACUUUUCAUUUUUCCCUCAAUUUUUUUCCCUCUCACUUUUCUCUCUCUUCCCUGAAACUCCCUUUCCCCCCCCCCCAUCCCACCAUUUUUCUUUUCCCUCAAAUUUUUCCCUCCUUUUCUUCCCCAACUUCUCUACUACUCUUCCUCUCUUCCCCAUUUUUUCUUCUCUUCCUCCUCCAUUCUCUUUUUUUUUUCUUUUUUAGUUUUUCUCCUCCCGUUUUCUCAAGAGGGUCGGACCCCCAUUUUUAUUUUUUAUCGAGAAGAUCAUCGGUCGGGCACUGUCGGCGAGCCCCAGUCGGCUGACGACCUCCUCCCUUUUCUCUCAUUCUCUCACUUCCCGUAUCACUCAUUUUCCAUUAUUAUUAUUAUUAUUAUUAUUAUUAUUAUUAUUAUUAUUAUUAUUAUCAUCAUUAUUAUUGUUAUUAUUAUUGUUAUUAUUAUUAUUUUUAUUGUUAUUGUUGUUAUUUUAUUUUAUUUUAAUAGUAAUUGUUGUUUGUGAAAUUUGGAUUGUUGAAUUAAUAUGAAAUUUGGGGUUAAUUUGUUGUGGGUAGAUUAAUACGUAAUUUGAUUUUAUUUAUUGUUAGUGAAUUAAUUUGAAAUUUGUUAAUUUGGGUUUGUGGGUAUAUUGUAAUUGGUGAUUAAUUUGGGGAUAUUUGGAUUAUAUCGAUUGCAUAUUGUUUAUUUGAACUUGGGUCUAUUGUUAAGUUGUUAUUUGUUUAGGCUUAUUGGAUUGGGCUUGAAAUAUUGUUUCUCUUGACCAUGUAUUUUGUUUUAUGUGGGCUUGUUAAUUGAUGUGAAUUUUAGGACCCAUAAUGUUGGUGGGAUUUAUUGGAUUAUUUGAAUAUUUGAUAUGGGCUUGGCCAAUUUGAAUUGUUUAAUUUGGACAUGGGACAAUUGUGAUGUAUAUUAAACUAAGCUUAAAUUAUGAAAUAUUAUAUUUAGGUCUAGUAGAAUUUAUUUUAAUUUAUCUCAUUUUAGGUUUGGUUGAUUGUGUUUGUAUUUUUUGUUAUUAAUUUAGAUGUUCUGGGUUAAGACCUAUGGUAAUUUGGACUCAUUUUAAUUGACGAAAUUUAUGGGACUAAUUUGAAAUUAGAAUUUGGGUUUGAAUAUUUGUUUAGGAUUUUAUACAUCUCUGGAUAUUUACAUUUGUGUUAUUUUUUGUUUUUGCAUAGACCCAUUCUACAAUCUUGUUGGCUGAGUACAAAUUGAUGACACGUGGAGCUUGUCGUAAGUUUAUUUGGGUACAUAUUUUAUUUCCCACUUUUAUUUGGUUUUAUUUUAAUUAAUUCUUGUAAAUAUUUGUUCGUAUAUAUUUAUUGAGUGUGUACAAAAUUGAACAGCGAACAAAUUAGAAAUUUUGUUUAAAUGAGAGAAAGAAUUCAGUAAAUAUGUUCUAAUAAAAUACUAAUUUUAAAAUGUUCUUUUUAAUAAAAGAAAGUUUUUUUUUCAUUAUUUAUAAAAAUUCAGAAAAAUGCAUUUAGAAAAAUCCAAAAAAUUGUUUUUAAUAGAAUUCGAAAAAUUGUUUUUAAUGACAUUGUUCAAAAAUUUCUUUGUUUAAUAAAAAUUGUCCAAAAAUUGUUUUGUAAAUAAAGUUGUUCCAAAAAUUAAUUUUUAAUAAAAUUGUCUAAAAAUAUUUUUUCAAAUGAAUUUUUUUUCCUUAAUUAAAAUGGGAUUAAAAGCGUUUCAGAAAUAGAGAAUUUAAAUCUUUGUUUUUCUUUUUAAUUAAAAUUUCUUUUGCAAUUAAAGUUAUGUUAUUUUAAAUAAUUUAUAAAAAUCAAUCUUUUAAAUGAAAAUGAAUCUAAAUACUUUUGUAAAUAAAAUUGUAAAAAUUCAUUAUUUUCUAGUAAAAGCAAGUAAAAAUAAUUUUUGUACGCAAAUUGAAAUUUUGUAAUAAAUUCUUUUGAUACAAUAAGUGUAAAUAGCUUUUUUUAAAAUUGAAUACAAUUGAAAUUGAGAAAAUAAAUUGAUUCUUUUUUAUAAGUAAAUAAAUGGAAAUCAUUAAUUUAAAAUCAUUUUUAAUAAAAUCCUUUGAAAUUUCUUUACAACUUUUUUUAAUAUCUUUUAUUUAUUUAAUUCAAUAAAUCAUUUUGCAUAAUUCUCUUAUUAUUUAUUUUGUGUAUUUUUGUAAUUAGAUUCCAUCAUUGUUUUUGUGCAUAUUAAUUUUCACCAUGACUUGUAUAUUGAUUAUUUUUUUGGUAUCCAUAAUUAAUUAAUUAAUUGUCACAAUUUCCUCAAUUCGUUUAGUAGAGGUCGUACGUAUAUGGGCUUAAAGGGGUGCUAUGACUCACCACCGUACCUUCCCAAUGAGUAACUUGACCCCCAGACCCAGACUCGGUUUUUCUAUGAUAUGUUUUUUCCUUCAGGAGUCACACUUAGGGUUUUUCUUUCUUAUUUUGUUUUUCUCUUUAAAAAUAAAAGAAAAAUAAGUGGCGACUCCAAGUCUUUUUCUAAAAAUCAAAUUUUUACCAAACAAAAUAAAAAAGCGAGUUUUCGCCAUCGAGUGGGAACGCAUCGAGCAAAAUGUGGGGUCCACACACCCCUUUUCAACUUUUUUCAGCAUGGAUGAUGGAAAACACUUCAUUUGAAUGUUUGAUUAUAGUCUACCUCUUGCCAUAGACUCGUCAUCAUAUUGUAACACUCGAUAAUCGAUCAGCUACCCUGUUUUGUAAUGGAGAUUUUAAUAUUCAAUUCACAAAUUCAGGCAGCAUCCCGUAUUUUUUAGUUCCUUUGCCAAACGGUUUCCCAAAUUGCAUGUUCUAUUGAUUUCAGGUAACAUUGAAUUCCAUAACUAUGACAUAAUCAUAGAAUCUUCUUUGUCCCAAACAAUAAAUUGUAGAUCUUCAGGUUUUGGGCCUGUUCCAGUGAGAUGACUCAGUUUUCCCCUACCCUUUAAAAACAUCCUCACUAGUUGUGACCACUGUAGAUAAUUCCUUCUUGUUUAGCGGUAUGCAAUCUGAAUAUUAUGAAGUUCUCUAGUCAUAUGGUUUUGGGAUGCUUCCAUGGGUGACUCUGUAAUAUUGAUUAAUGGGGCUGGUAUGAUUUCUGACAUAUCCAAUAUUGAAAAAUCCAAAAACAGAUUGAUUAGAUUCUGAAAAAAUAAGAGAGCCGAAAAAGCAAAAGACAAUAGAGUACAUUUAUGGUGAUUAAGGCCCAAGAAUGAAUUUAGACAGGUUAUCAAUGACAAUGAAUCCCAGAGAGCAAAUUGCUUUGAUACCAUGAUGUGAGAAAUUCUAAUUCAAGAAUAAAACAAAUAGUACAUAUUUAUGUGGUAACAUAAUCCUAUUCAUAAAAUUCAAAAUAUGAUUGGAAACUGACUAGGUGUUUGUUUUUUGGCUGAAUAGAAAAAGCCAAAUAUUUUGGCUUUUUCUAUUAAGCCAAAUAUUUUGGCUUUUUCUAUUAAGCCAAAAAACAAACACAACCUAAUUCUUAUCAUUGGAAACUAACUCUAACCAUCCCUGUAAAUUAGAAGCACUCCUAAUAUAUAGAAAGUUUGACUUAUGAUAGUUGUACCAUAAUUUCCUAAAUUUAAGGACCUGAUGUUCUUCAACACUUUAUCAUCCUUUCAAGGAUCAGCACACAUGGCAGAGAAGAGGUGACCUUGUACUGGCUGUCCAAAAGGUGGCAUGGAACAAAAAUAAAAGCGGUCAAGAUGACAUGAGAGACCCAUUUGAAAUCUGCUAUCAUGAACACCCUACACCCUCUUUUUUCUUAUUUAAGAAAAAGAAAAACACUGAAAUAGAAGUAGGAGCGUGCGUGUGAGUGUCAGCUCACAUGGUAGAAAAGAUGUGGCCCUUUUACUGUUUCUCCAUUUAACUUAAAGGUUACACUGAACAAAAAUAAGAAGUUUAGGAUAUCAAACACUAGCUACCCAUUUGGAAAAAAAUGACUGUUUCAAGUCCAUUUGGCAGCCAUUGCGGGACUAAAACAAAAAAAUUAUCUUACCCAAUAAAAUGGUACAUGUUUAAUAAUUUAUUUCAAUUUGCACUACAAGGAAAAAGAUAUAUGGUGACAUUUAUAAUAAGUCACUAUAAACAUAGGGUGUCACUACAACAUAGCGUCACCUUAUCCACUGACACCAUAGAGGGUAUCAAUUGGUGACGUAUUUGGAAGUGACACCAAAGCAGAUAAAUGGUGACACAUUCAAAAGAGACACCAUAUAUUUUUAGUGAUGCUUAAUUUGAUAUAGAGUUGUAUGAGAUAUAUAAGAUGUCAUAUUAAAUGCAUCAUCUUUGAGUUAUGGUGUCACAUUAAAUGUAUCACCUUUAAUUUAUGGUGUCACAUCAUUGUAAAUGAUUAUGGAAGAUAUGGUUGUUUUUUGUUGAUUAGUUUGUAGAUUUUUGUAAUGCUUAUUAAUAAAUAAGACUAACCUAUGUAAAUUGUCCAUAAAUAUAAUAAUCAUAUUACAUUUAACUUAUAUUUUCAUAAUGCUUAUGAAUUAAUUUGUAACAUAUUACAUCAUCCAAUAAUAUUUGUAUAUCAAAUGUUCACAAAAUGAUAGUACAUCAAACACAUCAAACCCACCAAAACUAAAAAAGAAAAGUGAAUACACAUUAAAACAUGAUUUAGAAAUGUUAAGCUUCCCAACAUUCAUGUAUACUUGCAUUUCAUAUGCAUAAAACCGGCUAACCAUAAAAUGACACAAGAGUUGCAUCCAAAAACCCAAAAUUCUCAAUUCCAAAUAAAGUAACAUUUAUGUCCUAUAAUGUAUGACAUAAGAGUCAUAUCUAAAAACCUAAAUCUUGUUGCCUCUUUCUCCUUUCUUUUUAUUCUUCAUAUUGUCCUCCCAAGAGUGUAUACCUGCAUUUCAUUGUUUAAUGAGUUUUAGAGUACUUAUUGAAAAUAAAAAUGUGAUGUUAUAAACAAUAAACAAAUCUAAGUACUAAUGUUUUCUUUUUCUUUUUUCUUUUUCUCAUUUUGGUAUAAAAAUAAUUCGUAAAGAAUAAGUAAUGUUAUACAAUAUCAAUGGAAAAUUCAAUCAUAUAACAACUAAGGGACUUACCAUGAAUGAUCACGAUACAUCAAUAUGAUUCAUGAUUAGUUAUAACACAAAAGUAAUCUAUUUUUCUCUAAUUUCAUCAAAUUCUACUUGAGAAUAUGUUUUAUUUGUCAUCAAACUGAAAUCAAAUGAGAAUAACAUUAAUAUCACUAUAAUUGAAAGUAUGAAAUUAUGUACAAUUCAUUAAACGAGUAAAAUCUUUGAUGCAAUAACUAUAAAAUCAACAAUUAUUUCUUUAAUGAAUCUCAUAACAAAGUAGUCAUAUUUGAACUCAGUAUUAUUUUUUUACUAUUAAAUUAUUUUUAAACAAAAUAACAAUUAUUAAUAUAUUGGUUCAUUUUUAAAUACUUUCAUAAGAAUAUAUUUUAACUACAAGUUAUUUUAAUUUAUCAAAAGAUUUUUAGGAAAUGAGCUAUUAUCCAUUUAUUAUUUUCUUAUUUUUCAAAAAAUAUUUUCAGUCAUUUUAUACACGUUUUCAACUACUAAAAUUAUUGUUUUUAUAGAAUAAACAAAGAAGCAUACACUUCUUCUCCACUCACUAAGUCAACUAUUACAAUCACCAUAAUAUUUUAUUCACCUACCAAUAUCUCAUUCCAUUUAGAUAACUCUCUCAACAAAAUCAUUUCUACAAUACUUUUUACUCUCCUAUGAUAUUGAAUAUUUUAUUCCAUUUAGGUGACUCUCAACACAAAGAAAAGUAGGAAUGUCUUCUUAGGUUAACUAAACAAAGACUUUUUUUUUUACUUUACAAUAUGUAUAAAAAAAAACAAUUAUUUAUUACAAGAAAUGUGGUAGAAAGGUCAUUUCAUUUUUAAAGAAUUUUUUAGAAUUUCUUAAACAUUUACAAAAAAUAGAAUCUAACAGUUUUAUUUCUAAAAAAAUUGAUCAAUUCAAAAAAGAAAGAAGAAUGUUAUUUUUUAAGAAAAGUUAAUAAACCACUUUAUUCUUGAAUUAUCUAAACAAAACUUACUAAAAAAUAUUUUAUCCCAAAUUUAUUUUCAAAACUUUCUUAUUGAAAACUAUCUCAUAUAUAAAUUAUUUUAUUAUAUAGAGAAAUUCUUAUUUUAUUCUUUUUUUUAGAGAAAAAUUCACUUGUUUAUUAAAUAUCAAAGAAGUCUAUUUUUAUGUCUAUUAUAUAUAUAUAUAAAUUCUCUUAUUUUCAUACAAGAAAUUUCCAUUUAUGCCUAAAAUACUUUUAGAAAAAUCAUUGCCAACAAAAUUUUAUUUUUAAAAUUAUUUUCAACAUUCUUAUUUAAAAAAAUUAUCAUUGGAUUAUUUUCAAAAAGGACAGUCCUAAAAAAAUUAACCAUUUAUAACCCAAUUUAAACUCAAAAAUUAUCCCCAAUAUUAUUUUAUAUUCCUAAAUUAUUUUCAAACAAAAUAACAAUUAUUUAUAUUUUGAUUCAUUUUUAAAUACUUUCACAAAAAUAUAUUUUAACCACAUAUUAUUUUAAUUUAUCAAAAUAUUUUUAGGAAAUGAGUUAUUUUCCAUUUAUUACUAUCCUAUUUUUCAAAACAUAUUUUCAGGCAUUUCAUUCACAUUUUAAAAUUUCAAAUACUAAAAUUAUUGUUUUUAUAAAACAACAAAGCAUGUAAAUUUCAACUACUAAAAUUAUUGUUUUUAUAGAAUAAACAAAGCAACAUACACUUAUCUUCCAUUUACUAAUUCAACUAUUACAAUCACCCCAAUAUUUUGUUCACCUACCAAUAAUUCAUCCCAUGUAGUGACUCUAAAAAAAAGUCAUAUUUAUAUACCUUUUACGANNNNNNNNNNNNNNNNNNNNNNNNNNNNNNNNNNNNNNNNNNNNNNNNNNNNNNNNNNNNNNNNNNNNNNNNNNNNNNNNNNNNNNNNNNNNNNNNNNNNUUUUUCAAAACAUAUUUUCAGGCAUUUCAUUCACAUUUUAAAAUUUCAAAUACUAAAAUUAUUGUUUUUUAUAAAACAACAAAGCAUGUAAAUUUCAACUACUAAAAUUAUUGUUUUUAUAGAAUAAACAAAGCAACAUACACUUAUCUUCCAUUUACUAAUUCAACUAUUACAAUCACCCCAAUAUUUUGUUCACCUACCAAUAAUUCAUUCCAUGUAGGUGACUCUAAAAAAAAAAAGUCAUAUUUAUAAUACCCUUUACGACUCUGAUACCCAAUAUUCUAUUCUAUUUAGGUGACUCAAUACAAAGAAAGUGGGAAUGUUUUCUUAGGUUAACCGAAGAAAACCCUAAAUAACUUAAGUGCUUUUGGAUUAAUUGAGUAUCAUCUUGUAGUAGAUGUCAAUCUCUAUUGUUAGACUUCACCAAAAAGCUCCUAGCACGGUGGAAAAAAGUAUCAAAUAUAGUCAAGUCUUCAAUAAAAUACUAUUUUAUGCGAAAAAUUACUACAAACUAGUGUAUCUCUCAUUCUCAAUUAGACAAAAUUUUUAAAAAUAAUUCAUUUUUCUUGUUUUCAUUUGUUUUGGGGCUUAUUAGCAAUGAAACAAAAAAUAUGUUAGAAAGUUAAACCUAGUUUUUACUUCCCUGGAACUCGAUAAAAAACACCAUUUACAAAACCCACAUCAUAGAUAUACUAAAUCAAGAGAUAUAAAACAAUUAUACUAACAAAGGUUUUUGCAUUAAUAAAAAAAAUGAAGAUGGUAGAUAAGAGAUUUUGACUUACCCGAGAUUUUACGAAGCAAAGAAUAUCAAUUAUGGGUGUGCCGACCAUGGGUGUGAGAAGAAGGAGAAGAAAACGAUGGUUAGGGUUAAGCAAUAAGAUCUUUUAUAUUAGUUAAUGUAUAUAUGGAAACAAUGGACUUUUCAUAAAUUGUUCCUACUCACUAUUUUUAAAAAGGGCCCAUUAAGUAAUAAAAUUUAAAACUUUUUAUUUCAUAUGGUGUCACUUCCAAAAAAUGACACCAUAAAUAUGAAAUUAGCAUCAUCUAACUAUCCUAAUUGAAGAUUUUUUAUAUGAUGUGUCACCUUUAUAAAUUUUAAGUUCAAUGGUGUCAUUAUUUUAAAUGCGACACCAUAAAUAGUGACAUCAUAUAUUAUUUUUGUAGUAGUGUUGGACCAUAAUUCUCAUUCCUACUAUAUAUUUAUUUAUAUUUGGAAUCAUCAGUUGUAGCNNNNNNNNNNNNNNNNNNNNNNNNNNNNNNNNNNNNNNNNNNNNNNNNNNNNNNNNNNNNNNNNNNNNNNNNNNNNNNNNNNNNNNNNNNNNNNNNNNNNCCGAGAUUUUACGAAGCAAAGAAUAUCAAUUAUGGGUGUGCCGACCAUGGGUGUGAGAAGAAGGAGAAGAAAACGAUGGUUAGGGUUAAGCAAUAAGAUCUUUUAUAUUAGUUAAUGUAUAUAUGGAAACAAUGGACUUUUCAUAAAUUGUUCCUACUCACUAUUUUUAAAAAGGGCCCAUUAAGUAAUAAAAUUUAAAACUUUUUAUUUCAUAUGGUGUCACUUCCAAAAAAUGACACCAUAAAUAUGAAAUUAGCAUCAUCUAACUAUCCUAAUUGAAGAUUUUUUAUAUGAUGUGUCACCUUUAUAAAUUUUAAGUUCAAUGGUGUCAUUAUUUUAAAUGCGACACCAUAAAUAGUGACAUCAUAUAUUAUUUUUGUAGUAGUGUUGGACCAUAAUUCUCAUUCCUACUAUAUAUUUAUUUAUAUUUGGAAUCAUCAGUUGUAGCAGCCUUGCUUCAUCUACAACCUAAACAUGGUGAUGGUGUUACAAUGCAAAAUUCACCAAUCCUUCUUCAAACUUUUUUGAGUUUUCCCUUGACAAUGCUGUGAUGAAAAGUCCAAGAAAGCCCAAUGAAAAGGAACAGAAAUGCUCACCCUUCUCUCAACUCUCAACUGCUGGUCCCCACCCAAAAUCUAUGCCCAUACUUUCCAAGCAAUAUCCUUAAUUAGUCUGGUAGGCGAAGAAGACUGGGCUCCAAAAGGAUGCUGUGAGAUAUCUGGAAGAUCACCCAUGACAUUUUCAACGUACUGUGCGGUUGAAGGCCGAAAGAUAAACACAAAGCAAGAAAGCAUGGACAUGAGAAACUUGGAAUAGGAGAAAUGGAAAGCAGCAUGUGCCUUAGCAGUGCAAUUUUGUCUCUGUGUUUGUCAUGUAUGUGGUUGGGAGUAGUGCCUUCCAUUUCUGGUGCACAGACAGACACCAUCAAACCUGGGGAAGAGCUUCAAUUCUCGAAAAAAUUACUGGUUUCUGCAAAAGGGACUUUUACUCUAGGCUUCUUCAGCCUGGAAUCUGGCAGUUAUUUAGGAAUAUGGUACACAACUGAUGAUUAUCACAAGAAAGUUUGGGUUGCUAACAGAGACAAGGCUAUAUCCGGCACCGAUGCAAAUCUCACGCUGGAUGCUGAUGGCAAAUUGAUGAUCACGCAUAGUGGGGGUGAUCCAAUUGUCCUGAAUUCCAAUCAAGCAGCCAGAAACUCAACAGCUACUCUGCUUGAUUCUGGAAAUUUUGUUUUGGAAGAGUUCAAUUCGGAUGGAUCUCUGAAGGAGAAACUAUGGGCGAGUUUCGAUAAUCCUACAGACACCCUCCUGCCUGGGAUGAAACUAGGCAUCAACUUGAAAACCAGGCGAAACUGGUCACUUGCUUCAUGGAUAAGCGAACAAGUGCCUGCUCCUGGGACUUUUACCCUGGAAUGGAAUGGCACACAAUUGGUGAUGAAACGCCGAGGGGGCACCUAUGAACCUUGAAAGAUAGGAGCUUUGAGUUCAUUCCUUGGUUGAUGAGCUCUGAUACUUUCAAUAACAUCUACAGUUUUAACAGUGUUUCGAAUGCAAACGAGAUUUACUUUAGCUAUUCAGUUCCAGAAGGAGUUGUUUCAGACUGGGUAUUGACCUCGGAAGGGGGACUUUUUUACACUAGUAGACCUGUAUUUGUGCUGGACGAUCAGUGCGCUAGGUAUGAAGAAUAUCCAGGGUGUGCAGUGCAAAACCCACCCACUUGCAGGACUAGAAAAGACGGAUUCAUGAAGCAAUCGGUUCUCAUAUCAGGAUCACCAUCAUCAAUAAAAGAAAAAUCGAGCUUGGGCCUUAGGGAUUGUAAGGCUUUAUGCUGGAAUGAUUGUUCUUGUACUGCUUAUAAUAGUUUAUACACUAACGGAACUGGAUGUCGGUUUUGGAGUACAAAAUUUGCACUAGUCCUCAAGGAUGACGCAAAUCAGGAGGAGCUCUAUGUUUUAUCCUCAUCACGAGUUACGGGUAAGAGUCUCUCUGUAUUUUUGCAUUCCUGAAAGUAACCAAAGCAAAGUAGUUGAUGAAUCCAACAUUUUUAUUGAAUUUACAACCCUAAUAGGUGAUCAAAAAUUCAAAAUACCAUUAGAGGAGCUAUAUCAAGACCAUAAAAGACCCUCUUUCACUCAGUUCUGCUCUAACCAUAAAAUUUAUCAACUUCUAUCUAUGCAGGGAGCAGUUGGUGGAUAUGGGUCAUUAUUGCAGGAGUGGUACUUGUGGUCUUGUUGGUACUUGUGGUCUUGUUACUUACGGGCUCCUUAUACUAUUCAAGGAGAAAAUUCAGAGGUAGUAUUUUAUUUGAACUUUUGUUGAUGAUAGUAAUGCCAUUUGUUAAUGGGUUGGAUUGAACUUGUGACUUGUGGUAUAACAGGGGAGAGAGAAAUGGAGGAAGCUGCGCUGCUUGAAUUGACAACUUCAAACAGCUUUAGUGAUUCAAAAGAUGUUGAACAUGAUGGAAAGAGGGGGGCUCAUGAUCUUAAACUGUUCAGUUUUGAUUCUAUUGUGGCUGCCACGAAUAACUUUUCAUCUGAAAAUAAACUUGGAGAGGGUGGUUUUGGCCCGGUUUAUAAGGUAAAUAUUAUUAUUUCAUUAAUCCAUGGCAUGUAAUAGGAAUAGGACAUUCUUUGUUUUAAGUACCCCAAUUAAAGCUUCCUUUUGGAUUGUGGAUUGUGGAUUGUGGAUUAUUUUUGCAGGGGAAAUUACCUGAGGGGCAAGAAAUAGCAGUGAAGAGACUUUCAAGGGGCUCCAACCAAGGAUUGGUGGAGUUUAAAACUGAGAUUAGACUGAUCGUCAAACUCCAACACAUGAAUCUUGUUAGACUUUUGGGUUGCUACAUCAAGGGAGAAGAAAAGAUGUUAAUCUAUGAGUUCAUGCCCAACAAAAGCUUGGACUUAUUCCUCUUUGGUUUGAAUACUUCCCUUUUUUCUUCCUUUUAUCUGCAUGACUUUUCCUUAUGUUCUUACAUGUCAUCAUCCAACUAGACACUUCACAUGAAUUAAUUUUUUAAAACAUAUUUACCCCUAAAUGUCUUCUUCUCUCUUCAACCAAACCCUAACACCAAAAACUUAUGUUCUUUCUUAUUCGUUCACAACCACAACCCAUCACAAGGCGGGACGAUCCAUAAAAAAUCUGGUAACUCACUAUAAGAAAAAAGGGUAAUAAUGACGCUUUUUAGGCGUCAAUAAAUGUAUACGAUGACGCUUCUCGAAAGCGUCCUUUCCGCCUCUGUCAAGGAAUGGGUGCAGGCAACCAUGUCGCUUCUAGACAGCGUCAUUGUUGAUUGGUUUAUAUUAACACGUUAAAAACGUCAUUAUUGAUCUACCUAUGUUAACACUUACCAUGUCGCUUCUAGACAGCGUCAUUGUUGAUUGGUUUAUAUUAACACGUUAAAAACGUCAUUAUUGAUCUACCUAUGUUAACACUUACACUAGCGCCAAGGAAUGGCCAAAAUAUCAUUUGUCUAUUUCGACACUAAAAAAAGUGUCAUCUUAUGUGGAUAAUAAUAUUGAAAAUCCCCCUGUUGAAAUGAUAUAUUUUUGUAUGGCCUGUUAUAUGUAAUUUUGGUUGCAUGAUUAUUUAUAAAGUACCAAACAAUAACUUCAAUAUUACAUCUUCCAAAAGAAAUUGAAUAAAUUUGGGAAUAAUAUAAUGAUAAAGAACUAAUGUCUACAUAGUUAAUUAAUACGCAAAUUUGUAAAUGUAUCAAAAUAUUUACAAGCAUAUUUUCCAACUUCAACAUAUAUAAAACAAGUACACAUGUACCAAAAAACAAGGUCUCCAAAUUCCUUAUCAAAAAUAAUAUUACAAGAAGAAGCCAAAAGUAUUUAUAGCCAAAAGUAUUUUUGUUGGUUGCAUAUCCACUCCUGAACUUGAAAUCUUUUACCUGUAUACAUUUAAAAAAAAUUAAUAGAAGAAACAAAUUAUGUUUAGUUAAUAUACAUGCAAUGAAAGUUAAAUCUAAAUCUAUAAAUGGUCCAUGAAAGAAGUGCAAAUGAGAAUAACUUGGUAUUUAAUGAGAUGUUAUGCUUCAAUGAAGAUGAAAAAUUGUUUAAUUUGAUACUUGUUUAUAAAAUAUUAAAAUACUUUUUUAGUUCAUUAUUAAGUUAGAGGAAACAAGUUAGGCUUUCAAUGGUAUAAAUUCUACAAUAUGGAAUGUAAUAUAAUAUUUUCUUAUCUAUGUCUAACAUAUCAAACUCAUUUCUCAUAAAUAAAUAUAUGAAUAUACCAAUAGGUAUGGUUUAUAAUUAGUUUCAAUCAUAAAUCAUCAUAUCUAGUAAUAUAAGACAUUUAAUAUUAACCAUUUGCAAAUGACUUAAUUUCUUCUUACAACUUUCCUAUAUUACCAAAUUUAGUUAACUAAUAACAUUCCAUAAGGAAAAAAAGAGUAUUAAACUAAAAAUUAAAAGAGCAUAACCAAGGCAAUAGAAACCUACAAAUCAUUGGUUAAAUGUCAUAAUAACAACCAUUCUAAAACUUGCCUUUAUUUUCAAUUCCAAAAUUAUAACCCAAAUAUAAUAAUUAACCCUACACAAAAAAAGCUCUCUACCAUCCCUCCAUCCAACAACAACAACCUGUUGAUGCAACAACAACCUUUCCAACAACAAUAACUUCUCCAUACAACAAUAACAAUUUCUCCAUACAACAAUAACAAUUUCUCCAUGUAAUAACAACAACAACAAUAACAAUAACAAUAACAUUGAUGAUCGAUGGUGAUAAUUAUAUUAGUAAUAAUUUGAUUUGUUUAGUCCAAACAUAUAACAAUAACAACUUCUCUAUGCAACAACAACAAUAAUAAUGACAACAUUGAUGAUCAUGAUAUAAUAAUUUGAUUUAUUGAGUUCACAAAUUAUAUGCUUCUUCUCCAUACAACAAUAACAAAAAUAACUUCUCCAUGUAACAACAUUGGUGAUGAUGUAAUAAUUUGAUUUGUUAUAUUGAAAUAGUUUAUGUAUAAAACUAUUAUAUUCUAUCACUAUGGAGGAAAAAAUUACUUAUCAUGAGAUGAGAACUUCUGAGAAUCGUCAAAAUGUGAUCUACAACUCUUACUGGACUGAAAUGAGGGCAUCUGCAUACAUAAGAUGGUAAAUUUAAAAAAUUAGUCCAUUCAAGACUUCAUUAAUAAUGAAAAUCAAGCAUUAUAGAUGUUAAUUUAUACCUUCAAGCAUGGGUAAGAAUCAAUUGAGUUGCCAACAUAACCCACUCAGAUCGUACUUCAUUAAGCUCAACUUCACUAUACGAUUUUUUUCCUUUAAACUAAUAAUUAAUUGUACAUACAUGAUGAUUAGUUAAGUUAACAAAAAAUUACUAAAGUAUAGAAACUAAUAAAAUUUAUUAAUGAGUACAUACCUUUGUGGAUAGGAGGCUUGGAUCAACAAUUAUAUCUUUCAUGUAUCUCAUCACAUAAUAACCACACUCCACACUUCCUAGUUGUCUUGGGCACUAUAGGCACACAUAUGAAUUAUGGUACCAUAAAAACAUUAAUAUCAUGAUGUUUUAUGUCAUUAUUAUCUAAGUGACAAAACAUAAAACCAUAUUCAAAUUUUAGGGUUGAUAUAAGUGGUCAUAUGAUAUAUCUUACUCUAACCAAGUAACUUACCACUACUUUUACCCAUGUCGGCUCCCUCUUUGAUGAUCUUUGUUUCUCUGGUGGAUGAAUUCGUAGUGCCCUACAUGGAAAAGAAAAUUAACAUUUUAGAUACUAUGCACUAUAUUCAAGUAUGGAAAUGAAGACACUUACAUGUUAACAAUUUCCUUAAGAUCAUCACAUGGUUGCUUUUGAAUCGGAUCAAGGUAGUACGCAGUCAUUGUCCUCAUAUCCAAUGCCACCAAGACCCAGUGGAAACUACAAUAGUACAUUAGAUAUUAUUUACUAAUUAGCAUUGAUUAAGCUAUUUAACAUUUAAAAAAAACUUAAUAUUUUUCAUAACUUACUUAGGGUUAUAUGGAAUAAAAAUGUAGUCAGCACACUUUGCAUGCAUUAAACGAUUUGCAAUCAACCUUGACCUAUUUUCCUUUGUUGUCUCACCCAUUCCAGCUUUAGAGACUAAAGCUGGAUUGAUAAAAGCAAAUCGUUCGGUGAGCCUUGCAUCACUUAGCUUUUUCUGUAGGUGCCUGUUUAAAUUCCACAUACCUUGAUAAGAAAUUAUAUAUAUAUAUAUAUAUAUAUAUAUAAAUUAACACACAUUAGCAAGUUAUAAAAUUAUUUACCAUAUAUAAUAUAUGACACAAUUAGCCGACACUUCCUUAAAUGAAAUUAUCAUAUCCAUGUCUUCUUUCAUAAGGAAGGUCUUAAAACUCUCGCCAAAUACAUCAUUUGGGACCUCCACACCUUGUGCUUUCCCCUCAUUUAGCAUGAGACCUACUAAUGCAUCAAAAUUGUUGAUAUCUUGAGGGUUUUCACCAAUUUUCAAGUCAUUUUCUGUUGUUUUUUGUCUUUUCCCUUUUUGAGAUCCCUAUAAAAGAAAGCACCAUGUUUUCAAAUGAUAUACAUAUCUUUAUAAAGUAUUGCAAAUGAAAAUAACACACCUUAAUGAAUUUAGUACUCAAAUUGACUAAAUGGGUUGGCCAUAAAACUUGGUAGCCCACUGCCGCUCCAACUGUUGUAGCUUGUCCAGGAAUGGGAAUAGGAAGCGGUGUAUUUGACUCAUAGGGAGCAUCCCAAACAACUAGGUAGUUGGGACCACAAUCCAUUACAAUUGUUCCACCAGCCACUGUAUUUUCUCUGGUCCCUACUGCCAACUCACAUUUUCUUGCCUUCAAAAGUAAAUUAAAUUGUUAAUUUCAAUAUCAAAAAAUAAUCAAUAAAUGAAGUUUAAAGUGCAUUGACUAUGUUNNNNNNNNNNNNNNNNNNNNNNNNNNNNNNNNNNNNNNNNNNNNNNNNNNNNNNNNNNNNNNNNNNNNNNNNNNNNNNNNNNNNNNNNNNNNNNNNNNNNNNNNNNNNNNNNNNNNNNNNNNNNNNNNNNNNNNNNNNNNNNNNNNNNNNNNNNNNNNNNNNNNNNNNNNNNNNNNNNNNNNNNNNNNNNNNNNNNNNNNNNNNNNNNNNNNNNNNNNNNNNNNNNNNNNNNNNNNNNNNNNNNNNNNNNNNNNNNNNNNNNNNNNNNNNNNNNNNNNNNNNNNNNNNNNNNNNNNNNNNNNNNNNNNNNNNNNNNNNNNNNNNNNNNNNNNNNNNNNNNNNNNNNNNNNNNNNNNNNNNNNNNNNNNNNNNNNNNNNNNNNNNNNNNNNNNNNNNNNNNNNNNNNNNNNNNNNNNNNNNNNNNNNNNNNNNNNNNNNNNNNNNNNNNNNNNNNNNNNNNNNNNNNNNNNNNNNNNNNNNNNNNNNNNNNNNNNNNNNNNNNNNNNNNNNNNNNNNNNNNNNNNNNNNNNNNNNNNNNNNNNNNNNNNNNNNNNNNNNNNNNNNNNNNNNNNNNNNNNNNNNNNNNNNNNNNNNNNNNNNNNNNNNNNNNNNNNNNNNNNNNNNNNNNNNNNNNNNNNNNNNNNNNNNNNNNNNNNNNNNNNNNNNNNNNNNNNNNNNNNNNNNNNNNNNNNNNNNNNNNNNNNNNNNNNNNNNNNNNNNNNNNNNNNNNNNNNNNNNNNNNNNNNNNNNNNNNNNNNNNNNNNNNNNNNNNNNNNNNNNNNNNNNNNNNNNNAAAAAAAAAAGUUACCUCCAAUAGAGUCCCACAACUAUCCUUCAAUUGUCAGGGACAUCUCGCCAUGUGUAUAUCUGAUUGGUACCAUCGUACGUGCCAAUACACUAAGUAGCUUGUUAGGUGCACAGAAGAUUCUCUACAUAGAUACCAUCAGCAUUGUACUUUAUGACCAACUUUAUCCCUCUAUUCCUAUUCCUUAUAAUCAUGGAUUUCCUUGUUGUCCCUCUAUAUUUUUUUUGUGAAAGGGUUUUCUCUUCCUUUGAAUCCAUGCCUAUAACACAUCAAUGAGAAAUGAUAAGUAUACCCAUUAAUUGCAAGUAAAAUUGAAUUUUUUAUAACAUGAACUCACAUUAGUAACAUGAACAUACUAGGAACAUUUUACAUGCUAGAUAACAAUAUUCACAUGUUGUCAUGAAAUAUUUAAAAAUAAUAAUAAUAAAAACUUACUAGAAGAUCCUCACCAAACUUUUUUUUUAUGGAACUAGAAAUCAUAAGCUUUGAGCUGAGACAAAUUGAUAUCCUUGUAUUACCCUUUAGAUCACUCUGAGAUAUGUGUAUAAUAAUAAUCAUGAAAUAGGGAAUCAAUAAAUUUAGAGACAUGAUGAAUUUAAUCCACUUAGAAAAUAAAUAAACUAUUUACUGAAAUGCAGAAUUUCAAUAUUAACAAGUUAAUGGGAUAGUUACAACCUUCACAACAAAACAACAAGGUCAUAAAUUUAGUUACAUAGAAGAUUUGUUAUCAAUCCAGAAUCCCUCACAGUCUCCUCGAAUGCAAAUGACAUCAGAGUCAUCCAUUGUAUCAAAUGAUUCAACUUGUGCCAAGGUGGUAAUGAGAGGAUGGUGUUCAAUAGAAUUAUCCAUGAAGUCAUCAAAAUCCUUUGCUGAAAAUGAGAAGUCCCUUUCAGGAGUUGACAAAACAACUGACCAUCUUGGAUCAAGUUGGUCUUGUACAUAGAAUACUUGCUUGGCUUGGGAGGCUAAAAUGAAUGGAUCUGAUUUAUGAGCCAUCUUAGUGAAGUCAACUAAUGUCAGCCCAAACUCAUCAACUUUGACGCCGCUCUUAUUAUCAACCCAAUUGCAUUUGAAAACUGGAAUCCUAAACAUGGUAUAAUCAAGAUCCCAUAUCUCAGUAAUAAUACCAUAGAAACAUAGCUCACCAAAUACUGGAUUCUUAUCCUUGGCACUAGAAAUUUGCAUUGUUGUUGCUACAAUGCUAACUCCACUAUUCUGGGUAACUCGUAACUCAUCACGGUCUUUUGUAUUGUACUGACACCCAUUUAUAACAUAGCCAUGAUACUUGGCCACGUAGUGGGUAGGACCAUGUGCCAUCCAUCUUAAGGUUUUAGAUAUAGGUUCUUUGUCAGCAAUGGCAACUUCUACCUGUUUGAAUGGACCAUAGUUAUUAAUAUUUUUUAUGAUUAGUGCUAAGAAUGGUGCAAUUUUUAGAAUAAAUUCAAUACCUUUUUUCGCAACCAAUGAGUGAAUGUUUGCAUGUGUUCUUCUUGUAGCCACUUUUGUCUCUUAGAUUGACGAGGAUUGUUCAAUUUCAACCAUUUCAUGUGUUCUCUAUAAGAUAUGUAUAAGAAAGUAACAAUAAGUUUCCAAAAUUAGUUUAAGUAAUCUACACAAAAUCAAAAUAGUUGACCCUUACUCGAUAUAAGGUUGGAUGAUAGUUGUAUUUUCCAACACAUAAUGAUGUGCUUGCAACAACAAAGUACAAUCAACUUCGGUGAUAUGACCUCCAGGAAUAGGCGCCCCAACUUUAUGGUCAACAUUAGUGCUACUAGGAACUCCAAUUGCAUCCACAUUUGAUAAGUACUCUGUACAAAAUUCAAUAGCUUCCUCUGCAAUGUAGCAUUCAACAAUGCAACCUUCAGGGUGGUUACGGUUUCGCACAUAACCCUUUAAUACUUUCAUGAACCUUUCAAAUGGGUACAUCCAUCUAAAAUAAACCGGUCCACAAAGUCUCACCUAUCUAACAAGAUGAACCGUUAAAUGAAUCAUGAUAUCAAAGAAGGAUGGCGGAAAGUACUUUUCAAGCAAGCACAAUGUCACAACAAGUUCAUUUUGUAACUUAUCCAAUGUAGACACAUCAACCACCUUCUUACAUAAAGCAUUGAAAAAAAGGCUCAAUCUAGCAAUAGCAUGUCGUACAUGCUUUGGCAAAAGUGAUUGCAAUGCCACUGGUAACAAUUGUUGCAUCAGUGUAUGAUAAUCAUGGGACUUCAGGCCAUAAAGCUUCAAAUCUUCCAUUGACACAAGAUUUCUAAAGUUUGAGCAAUACCCUUCGGGAACCUUUAACUCAGCUAAAGUUUGACAAAAUACUUUCUUCUCCUUUCUAGACAAUGUAUAACAUGCAGGCGGAAGGUAAGUUCGAUUCGAUUCAAACCUUGGUGCCAGUUCACACCUUAAGCCCAUGUCCAUAAGGUCUAGGCGAGAGUUGAGUCCAUCUUUUGUCUUUCCUGGGAUGUUAAGUAAUGUACCAAUGAUGCUUUCACAAACAUUUUUCUCAAUGUGCAUUACAUCCAAAUUAUGACGAACAUGCAAAUAUCUCCAAUACUCAAGUUCGAAGAAUAUGGACUUUUUCUUCCAACAAUUGGCAUAAGUCACAUUGGAUUUAUCAUGUCUUCCCCUUUUUUUCCCCCAUGAAUUACAAAUGGCAUUCAUUUUCAAUAGUAUUUCCUCUCCACUUAAUGGUUGUGGAGGUGAUCGAAACUCCUGCUCACCAUUGAAUGCCUUUUUAUGUUUUCUAAAAGGAUGAUUGCAUGGAAGAAAACGUUUAUGGCCUGUAAAUGAGUUCUUUCUCCCAUGCUUCAACCUAUGUGAAUAGGUUUCCGAUCCACAUAUUGGACAAGCAAAAUAUCCUUUGACUGUGCAACCAGAUAAGUUUCCAUAUGCAGGAAAGUCAUUUAUUGUCCAUAAUAGAACAGCCCUCAAUGUAAAGACCUCUCUUUGAUAUGCAUCAUAAGCUUCAACCCCUGUCUCCCACAAGGUUUUAAGGUCCUCAAUCAAUGGUGCUAAAUAGAUAUCUAUGUCAUUGCCAGGUUGUUGUGGACCCGAUAUUAACAAAGAUAACAUCAUAAAUUUUCUCUUCAUGCACAACCACGAUGGAAGAUUAUAAGUGAUCAUGACAACUGGCCAACAACUAUACCUGCUGCUCAAGGAACUAUGGGGAUUUAUGCCAUCUGCUGAAAUGGCAAGUCUAAGGUUUCUAGGUUCUGCAGAAAAAUCAGGCCAUCUAUGGUCAAUUACCUUCCAUGAUGGCGAGUCGGAUGGAUGACGCAUUUUUCCAUCAAAUUCUCCACCUUGUGCAUGCCAUAUGAGGUCUUUUGCGAUUUUUGAGGACUGAAACAUUCUUUUAAAUCGUGGGAUAGGUGGAAAAUACCACAUCACUUUAGCAAGAACUCCUUUACUCUUUUUGGUUCCUCUUCUAUUCACCUUCCACCUUGAAGCUCCACAUGUAGGACAUGAAGAUGCAUCUUUUAACUCAUUCCUAAAAAGUAUGCAAUCAUUGGGACAUGCAUGUAUUUUUUCAUAUUCCAUUCCCAAUGCAUUCAAUGUUUUUUUUGCUUCAUACAUAGACAAUGGCAACUCAUUGUUGAUAGGCAACAUAUCACCAAGUAAGCUUAAUAGCUCAGAGAAGCUUUUAUCAGACCACCCAUAUCUUCUUUUCAGAUUGUAUAAUUUAACUAAAGCAGAUAAUUUGGUGAAGUUUUUGCAAUUGGGAUACAAAGGUUUUUCAGCAUCUUCCAGCAACCUUUCAAAUAAUUUUGGAUUAGCCUUACAAUCAUCUUGUGCAGCUUCAACCAUUUCUACUGUAUGAUCCACAUUACCAAUAUGAAUUCUAUCAAACAUUCAGCCCUUGUAGUUGGGGGUCNNNNNNNNNNNNNNNNNNNNNNNNNNNNNNNNNNNNNNNNNNNNNNNNNNNNNNNNNNNNNNNNNNNNNNNNNNNNNNNNNNNNNNNNNNNNNNNNNNNNAAAUUUUUAAAUUAGGCUAAUAUUCUUUUUUUUUUCACUUCUCAUACUGCCAAAUACGUAUUAAAUACGAUUUUACAUGUUCAAGCCUUUUAAAACCUAUAAUUUAUUCAAGUCUACAAUUGUGUGUACAAAUAAAAUUAAAAAGUAUUUGAUGUGUAUUAAUGAAGGAUGCCAGAUUCAAUUCUAAAGUCCUAAGAGGGUAAGAUUAGUGAUAUAUAAUUGCCAACAAAACAUAGAAUAAAAGAAAUAUUAAAGCUCUCCAAGUAACAGUUUAAUCUCUCGGUCUUCAAACAUUCUUCACUAACACAGUGCAUAUCGGUAAUAGAUAAUUCUUCAAGAUAUUAUCAUUACAUAAUCAACUAUGGAAGACUAAAUAUUUCACUAAAUAUGUCAUGAUGUGUUUUCUCUAUCACAUUUCUUUUGAAUAUGCAUGCAAUGUUUAGCUCCUGAAGUGUUUACAAAUGCCCACCUUUGGAUGAUCAAAAUCAUUUUUUUUUUUUAAAGUUUUGAAUGAGGAUGUUCUUUUAAUCAAUUUUCAACCUAAAUGCCCUACUGUGUAGUGUUGGGGACCUAAUUUGGUGAUUAACUAUGGUUCUGUGAUGUGGAUUCAGUGCACUGUGGAAUUUUGAAACUUCGACAAGUAUCAUCAGUAUGGAUUUGGAACAAUAUUUGAUCCUGUGAAGUGUAAAACAUAUAUAACAUGAAUUUUUCUGCUUUAGUUCUGUGCUUCUGACCAUCUUAGCUUGUUACAUCUCAAUAACAUACUUCCAUGACCAUGUCAGUUGCUUCUUGAAUGCAUUAAUGACAUUGCUUUAUUGGUUGAUAAAAAUUUAAAGCAACCCAUUAAAAAUCCUCAGUGGAUAAUAAGAAAAGAGUUCAGUAGGGAUUCAUCACCAUAAGAAAAGUAAAGUCACUUCAGAAAAUAAAUGAAAAAGGAUUCAUUUUAAAACAAGUUAUGAUUCUGGUUAUAUUCAAUGCGAAUUCUGAGUCAACAGAAUUUUCAUCUGUUCUUGUUUAAAUUUUACAGAUAAAGGUUUGGGAUGCACAGGAAAAGAAAUGUACUGGAAUGUUGAUGGGGCACACAGGAAGUGUGAAAUCUAUGUGCCCUCAUCCAAGUAAUCCUAGUAUAUUUAUGUUUUCACCUACAUCUCUUUUUUUUCUAUUUAUACUUGAAAGAUGCUUAUAAUUUCACUUUUCAUUCAUCAAUAGAUCUUGUUGUCUCUGGUUCAAGAGAUGGGUCCUUUGCUAUUUGGGACCUGAGAGGCGGUUCCAGAACUAGACGUGGGGAUAUCUGGAUACCGUAAGUUACAAUUACUUGCUUAUUGGAUGUGAUUGGGUUGAUUAGUUUGUUUUGACAAAAAGGAAAAUUUUUUGUUCACUUCCUAUUAUGUACACAGAAUUUAAUGCAUAUUCACUGCAACAUCAAAAGAUACAUUUUACAACUGAGGCAAGAAAUCGGAGAAUUUGGCAUGCAGCUAGGAUAAAUAAAGCUUGAUUAGACAAUUUUGGUGAGCGUGAUCUCAGUUUGCACCCACUUAGCUGCCCUUGAUCAAGGCAAGGGCCCGCAAAGCAUCGGGCAACAAUACUGAUGACAAUGAAGCCAAGGAGAGGGAACCAGAAAACAUCAUGGCAGUGCGGAAGAGAGCAACACAAGUAGGAGAGAGAUGAGAAGAAUGAAAGGUUAACUCAGUUCCGAAUGUCAAAAAAAAUGCCAGUAAGCUAGAAAAGAACAUCAUGGUGCUUAUAACAGGUUGACCAAUGAUAAUAGGAGGAACCAAACUCUUGAAAUGGAAAGCAAAGAAUUGAUGAUAGGUGAUAGAGAACCUAAGAAAGCGCAGUCAGCCAAGCAAAUACUACAUGCAUAGCCCAUGCAACAGGGGGUGAGAGAAUAAUUAGAUGACAUCAACAAAAACAAAUCAGGAGGCGCAAAAAAAUAUCACAUAAUUGAUGACAAAGGGAGCUAUCCAGAGAGGAGGAGAGGUCUGAGGUUCAGUUCCCAGUAUUAACCAGGAGACCACAGUGGAAGGGCCCCAUCAAGCAUUAAGUAUAAAUUUGAGAAAUUGACAGACUCAAAACAAAUUUGUUGGAGCUUGAGGCCCACUAUUCUAGCAUGCUGCAACAAGGUUUUUCAUAUCAAUUUUACAAUUAUGAUAAGUAUAGGACAAAGACCGGAAUAUCUUACUUGGAACAAUAGAUGUGCAGUGGAAACCAAUAUUAACAACAAUUCCUGAAGUUUGCUUUGCUGCAUACAAAGCUAAGGUUGCCUGCACUUAUAUCAUAAGAAGAAUGCAUUAGGUGAUUGGCAUGUAACAAAAACAAGAGAAGAUGGGCACCCCAAACCAACCCACAAACAACUAAAGAAAGAAUUAAAAAAAUUAGAAAAAAGGGCAAAGAAAGAAAGAUGAAACCAUAUCCAUGUGAAAGCACCCAAACCUUGAUAUGCUGUUCAGAUGAACUUUAUGAAACCUCUAGUGUAUUAUGUAACAAUUGAAUAUGAUCAUACUAGGUUCAACAAUAAAAAUCACCUACAUCAGAAUCAUAUUCAUGCCCUAAUGGAGGUAAAUAUCAGCUUUUAGAAUAAAUCAAAAGAUCAAUUUACAAAAGGACCCCCUAUCUUGGCAAAAUGACCCAUAAUAUUACAUCCCAACUUAAGACAGAUAACAUGAGAAAGCAAUUGUACUCUUCCAUUUAUCAGGUCUGAUAUCCAGAAAAUCCCCAAUGUGAGCUCCUGUUGUUAUUAGAAAGCACAGUUUUAUGUCAUUGGUGACUGGUGUUCUAAACAAGCCCAAGUAAACUAGGAGAGCAAAAUCCUCCAAGUAAUAAACAAGAUAUUUAGUGUCCAUUCAGAUACGCUUCUGGUUUUCUUCUUUUAAAAUCAGAAAAUAAUAGUAAUUUUUAUAAAAAAUACAAGAACUCUAAGAGGCUUACACUGAAAAAGAAAUGACUUUAAAAAUUGUUUAAAACAAUUGAGGUUCAAAAAAUUUUUACAAUAUCAAAUUUUAAAAUUUUUGAAAGUGACUUUUAAAGACAUAAGGUAAAUCUAUACUUUUUGGACAAGAUGUUCUAGUUUUGUAUAAUAAGUUUCUGAUUUUAAAAACAAAAAACAGAAAGUACAUCCUAAUGGACACUUGGAUUAUUGUUGUAGUCAUAUAGAAAGCUGAUGGAUGGGAAGAGCCACCAAAUACUUGUACUAGUUCUAUACUAACCUUCCAGGAAAAAGGUGCCAGGGCAGAGAAGUCAUUAACAGUGUAAAUGAGUAUGCACAUUAAUUUAAGAGUAGGCAUGUUGAAGGUUAGAUUCAUGGACUGAUGCUCUUGGGUUUAGUAGUGGAUAUGCUUUGCUUGGGCUAGGUUUAGUUUAUGAUAGGAGGAGGUUUCUUACCUCCCCUUUGCCAUCAGUUGAGAAUCCUUUUUGGUUUGGCUAAGGGUAUAAUCUUUUUGGUUAGGCCACAGCUAUGAUUUUGCUUUGGCUGGUUUAAUUUAGGUUAUGUUUGAGUUCCUUCCUUUCCUUGCCUUCCCUGUAAAGUGAUAACUUCAUAUGGUCAUAUGAGAUACUUCUUAAUGGAUUUAUUUUCCAUAGUUCAACAGCUUGAUAUGGAUGAAGGUAUUGAUACGUCCAGAUUGUACAAGCUAGUCUUGCCUCUCCACUCAUCAGUCAUCGUUCAUGAUUCUGUAGGAGAGACGAGGUAGACCAAACUGGGCCAGAUCGCAGGCUUGCAUUGAGCCAUAGUUACCUUCAGCUGAAUGGGCCCAAAUCUAGCCACAUCCAAAAGAAAUACCAAACCCAGUCCAAAUUCCUACAUCUUAAAGUAAAAUUUAAAUUGUGGAAAGUCUACAGCCUGCAGUUUCCAACCGAGCCAAGCCCAUAUAUUUUGGACCUGGUGCCUCAACCCUUGACUGCCCAACAAACUAAGAAUCAAACCCAAGCCCACCAGAGAAAUUUUUAAAACAUGUCUCUUCCAAACACGUCAUUUUUGCCAGUUGUUCCCCUCUCAAUACCAUUUAAAAAAUCCCCCAGCAGCUUUCUCAACUGCUGCAGCCUCACUUGUCUUUUCCUUGGUGUACGAACACGGCACGUCCAUACCUACCUACAGACGGUAGAGGCUGCACCUCCCCUAACCUCCAUCCCGAUCACCAUGCUCGCUGCUGCAUCUCUUCAUCACUACACAAGGCAAGAUCACCAUGCUCACUGCUGCAUCUCUUCAUCACUACACAAGGCAAGAUCACCAUGCUCACUGCUGCAUCUCUUCAUCACUACACAAGGCAAGAUCACCAUGCUCGCUGCUGCAUCUCUUCAUCACUACACAAGGCAAGAUCACCAUGCUCGUUGCUGCAUCUCUUCAUCACUACACAAGGCAAAAACUGGGUGGCACUUCCCACCACAACUGAAAGGAGAAGCUGCAACAACCUACCACAACUUGCAACGCACCAGGCAUACUACUUCUAUAGAUGUUAUUUACACCAACCAUUUAGUUAUUUACACUAUUAUACAACAACAAGAACAAAAUGCUCUGUAUUUUUUCGGGAUACCAUUUCCCUGAUUUUGUCCUCCCAAAUUAAUUUCCCCAUCUAUGAAACAAUAAUACCAUAUAUUUGGAACAAUGAAAACCCUUCCAUUUGUCUUUAUUUGAACUAAUCUAUUCAAGUAUGAGGAAAAUAACAUUAGUUGAGAAAGAGAUUUACCUUAACUAUGAUGCUCUGUAGUUGAUUUUCACAAUGGUAACCUCCCAUGCAUGAAAGUUAGACAUGGCCAUUCCAAAGGAUUAGGGCAUUUUAGUGGUGGACUUUGCAAGGGGAAUGGAUUUUGGCAACUGAUGUGGAGUGAAAUGACUUUGCAAGGGGAACGGAUUAGGGCAUUUUAGUGGUGGACUUAGUGAGAGCUAUAGGUUUCGGGGUUUCUUCAGUUCUGAAAUGGUGGAGGGAAUGUUUGGCGGGCACUCGUACUUAGAAAGGGAAAAACUUUUAAUUAAUAUAUAUUCAGAACAUAUAUAUAUAUAUAUUAUUUAAUGUCACUCCAUGAAAUAUCACAACUAUGACACUUCUAUAAAGUGUCAUGACAUAACUAGUUAUUCUUAUAAUUAAAGAACUUAUCAGACAAUGAUACUUUAAAUAAGUGCCAUGAAAUAAAAAAACUACUAUAAAAAAUGACCCCUUUAAAAAAACGUCAUUGUAUAUCCCAAUAUAAUGAUACUUUAUGAAAGCGCCAAGGAUUAAAGCUAUGACACUGCUAUAAAGUGUCAUGACAUAACUAAUUAUUCUUAUAUAAAGGCCACAUCAGACAAUGAUACUUUAAAUAAGCGCCAUGAAAUAAAAAAACUACAAUAAAAAAUGACCCUUUUGGAAAACGCCAUUGUAUAUCCCAAUAUAAUGAUACCUUAUGAAAGCGCCAAGGAUUAAAGCGUCAUAAUUUUCUAUUUUUGUAGUAGUGACUUCUCAAUUUGCCAUAACCCAUCAACCCCAAACGAACCUCCAAACAUGAUCCCUUAUUUUAUUUCUCCUCCAUCACCAUAAGAAAGACGACAUCAUCAUUUUCCCACCAAACAUCAAUUUGAAGACAAAAGUCCAAGUGUGAAACCCCUAACAAAGCCUAGGUAGACAAAUAACCCCUUUCCUUCUUCUCAUUUCAACAUCGACAAAGUCAUUUCUUCCCUUCCUAUACUUCCUCUUUUGCUUUUACGUUGAAAAAGAGAAAGAAAGCAAUUGAGAGAAAGAGAGAACAAAGCAAUGAAAUAUUGUA